CUUUUACAUACGGGUUAGCUUCUUUACUUACUUAGUUGUUUCAAUUAUCUGCAGGUUCUUGCCACUAUAUAUUUUGGAAUUAAAAAAUAUAUUAAAUGUAAAAAUGUGAUUUUUUAAAUACAAUUUAUUUUAAAUAUAAAAUGUGAAAUUGAUACCAAUAUAAAAUUUUAGCACAAAUAUUUUAUGGCAUAAUUAAUAAUUCAAUUUUAAUAUAAAUAUUCAAUAUGACUAAACAAUUUAAUAAUAUAAAUAAUAUAAAAUGUGAAAUUUAAUUUAAUUUAAUAAUAUAAAUAGUAGAUAUAAAUAAAAUUAUUACUAUUUAUAUUUAGUGAUAUUUUUUGGAUAAUUUUGAUUUUUUAUUUGAGAAUAAAGGGUGAGAAGUAAAAGUUUAGAAGAAAAAUAAAAAGUUUUGAGGAAUAAAAGUUUGAGGGAAAGUAAAUGGGGGAGUAAAAUUUUGGAGGAAAAAUAUUAAAAAAAAAUUAGGGGGAUGGGUUUGGGGUAGAUGGGAAGUGGGAUGGGAAGGGAGUAAAAGUUUUAGGGGGAAAGUGGGAGGGCGUAAAAAUUUUGGGGAAAAAUAAAAAGUUUUGAGGGUUUUUGGGUGUAAAAUUUUGAGAAAAAGUAAAUGGGAGAGUAAAAUUUUGGUGGAAAAUGGAUUUUGGGUAGAUUGAGGGGUUGGGAUGGGAGGAGAAUAAAAGUUUUGAGGGGAAAGUGGGAAGAAGAAAAAGUUUUGAGAGAAAAGUAAAAAGGUUUGAGAGUUUGGGAUAAAAAUGUAAAAUAUUAUAGUUUGAUAUUCGAAUUAUUCGAGUUAUUCGAAUUCGAAAACUCAACUCGAAUCGAACUCGAAAUUCAAAAAAAAUUGAUUUGACUCGAAUAACUCGAUUCGUUUAACUUGAAAUUUAAGUUUUUUUUUCAAUUUUUUCGAGUCGAAUCGAAUUUUGCUCACCCCUAGUUCAGAAUAAGAAUCUUAAUUAUGAGUUUUGGGAAACGCUUUUAAUUGAUACUAUUAAUGUAUUAUUAUCAAUUUUUUAAUUUUUUUAAGUUGCUGUUAAGUAUUGGUAUGUUAAUAAUUGAUUUAUAUUCUUCAAUAUUUCUACAAUCAUUUUUUUAUAAAAAUAAUUUUAAAGUAUAUAAAUUUAUGAAAAGAGUCAGUUAUGAUUAAACUUGGAUAAAUUGAUAUCCAAGUUGGUAUAAAAAAAUUAAAUGAGUUAACAACAACUAUUAACAUACCAAUACUUAAUAGUAACUUAAAAAAAUUAAAUGAGCUUAAACAUCAUUUGUCCAAAUUCAUUUUCAAAAUGAAAUGAUUUUUAAUUUUUUUUAUAAACUUAUACGUUAAACUCACCAAAUACUAAACUAAACACAACAAUUUAUAACUUAAUCCUAAAUUACUAAUAAAUUAAUUUUAAAAUAAUUAUAAUCAUAAAAAUUUAUAACAUAAUCCUAAAUUACUAACAAAUUAAUUUUAAAAUAAUUAUAAAAAACAAAAAAAAAUUGCAUUCAUACAAAUAUUAAUCCAAAACUAUAAACACUAAACAUAAAUAACUUAUAAUUAAUAAUUAAUAACAAAAAAAUCACAAUAUCUUAAUUAAACUCUUUAAAUUAUAAACAAAAUUAUUUACUAAAAUAAUACAUUAACUUCUUCUUCUUUUUUUCUUUCUUCUUCUUCUUCUUCUUCUUAUUCUUCUUCUUCUUCUUCUUCUUUUCUUCUCUUUUCUCUCUUUUCUUUCUCUCUUCCGGUGGAUGGGGUUUGGGGGACCAUAAUUAUAAGGUCCCCCAUUUGCAACUUUUUCCCAUUGAAGGGACUAGACACAGCAGCAACAGCUACUAGCAGAUGGAGCGGGGGAGGGGGCAUGCAUGCAGCAACAUAUGCUGCAGGAGGGGUACUGUGGGGGCAGAAGGGGCAGCGGGGUAGGGGGCAUGUAGUAGCAGAUGCUGCAGGAGGGGGGACUGUGCAGGCAGAUAAAGAGAGGAUUUUUGUAUCUAUCGGAACUUUACUGUAGUUUAUCUUUGUUUGUUUUUUUUUCACCAAAAAAAAAUAAUGAGGGAAAAAAUAAAAUAAAAUAAAUAAAACAUGUCAAAAAAGGAAUAAUAAGUGAAUAAAUAAAUACUAAUAAAAGUUUAAUUAAAAAUUGAGAAUAAGCAAAUAAACAAAGAAAUAAAGAAAUAUUAAUUAAAAUAGUUUAAUAAUAAUAAUAAAAGGACUAAAUUGAAAGCUAAACAGGAUUUUAGGGGAAAAAUAGGAAUAAAAUAAAGUAAAGGACCGAAUUGUAAUGCGCGAAUGAAAGGGAAGGACCAAAUGGGAAAUAUUCCCUGUCCUCCAAAACACGCCGUUUCAAGUGGACCAAAUUAAAACCGAAAUAAAAUUCCAGGGCAUAAAUUAAAAACUAAAAAAAACAAGAUUUAAAAACUAAAAAAAUGCAAAAGGGCCAAAUGCACAAAUAAUCCUUCUACUAAAAAAAUGUGGAUCCUAAGCCCGGCGGGUCGGGUCGGGUAGGUUCGGGUCACAUGAAAACAAUGUCGUUUUGGUGUCUGAGGGAGCUGGCCAAAAUGGCGUUGUUUUGACACCCUAUAUAAGUCACCCAAUCUAAAAAAAAAUCAUUUAUCCCCUCUUUAGAAAAAAAAUCAAAAACUCUCUCUCCCCCUCUCUCACCUCCUAAGUCUGAUGGGAGCUCCGGGCAGUCGUCACCGCACUAGCCACCGUUUACGGCGGCUGAAAGACAGAAAAUCUCCCUUUUUUCAGGCGAUCGAAAAACAAGUGAUGGCUUCUCCUUUUUUUGUUUUUUUAAUAUAUAUGUAUAUAUAAAAAAACAUAUUCAAAAAAGAGUGAAAAGAAAAAAUUAAAAAAAAAACCUUAAUCCGAUUCGAUUUCUUUCUCUAUGUUUCUUGCCUCGUUUUUUUUUGUGUGUGUGAACUUUGUUUUUUAUUCAACUGCUUGUUGUUUUUAUUUUUUUGGGUAUUCAAAUCUUGUUAAAAAUAUUACAUUGAGUCUCCUUUGGCUUUAUAGUCUCUUUCAAUACAAUAUCAUAUAUUUACUACUGCCUAAUGUCUUUUCUACUGUUGAUUUUGCAAGUGGCGAAGGCGGUGCUGGCAGUGGACUAGGGGCGGCAGCAGACCUAGGUACGGUGCACAUAGGGUUUUUCUCUCUUUUUUCUUUCUAAAAAUUUUUAGGAUUUUGGGCUAGGUUUUUUUAUUUGGGCCUUAUUGGGCCUUUGGACUGUAUUUGGACUAUUUGGAUUUUUAUUAUUUGGUUUUAAUUUUUUAGUUAGUGGGCUAGGCAAAUUAGGCUUAUUACAAGGUCUGUUCUUUAAAGAAAAUUGAUAGGUGGUAGGUAAGGAGGUUCUUCUCUUGUGUCAUGACAUCUCUAAUGGAAAGAGGGAUACUUCAGACAUCAAUGAUAUAGUAGUGGUUCUCAUCCCUAAGAUCAAGGACCACAAAGACAUGACUUAUUUUUGGCCUAUUAGUUUGUGCAAGGUUAUUUUCAAAAUAAUCUCCAAGGUUUUAGCUAACAGAUUAAAGGUUGUUCUCCUUUCAUGUAUUAGUCAGAAAUAGAGUGCUUUUUUCCUGGGUCGUAUGAUUCACGAUAAUAUCCUUAUCGCCCAUGAAUUAAUGCAUUAUCUAUAGAGCUGAAAAAAUGGGCCGAAUAAAGGGUUCGUCAUUAAGCUCGACAUGAGCAAAGCUAAUGAUCGUGUUGAAUGAAACUUUUCUCGAGAAGGUGAUGGAGAGAAUAAGUUUUGAUGACAAUUGGAUUAAGAAAGUUAUGUGAGUUGUUCGGUCUGUGAGGUAUGUGGUUAAGUGAAACAUGAUUCUUUUGGAGGUUAUUGUUCCCGAGUGGGGUCUUCAUUAGGGGGAUCCACCUUCCCCUUACCUUUUCUUAUUUUGCAUGGAAGCUUUCUUGAGGAUGCUUCUUAAAGCUCAAGAUGUUAGUCAUAUCCGUGGCAUUCGAGCUAGCAAAAAUGGCCCUCAGAUUAACCACAUGUUCUUUGCCGAUGAUGCCCUCUUUUUUGUUAGAAAUAAGAUCAAUGAAGUUAAGGCUAUUAUGGAGAUUCUUAGAGAAUUUGGGAAAAUGUCGGGUUAAAAGAUUAAUCAUGCUAAGGGCACGUUUGGUUCGCUGUAUUGGAUUAGAGGUGUAUUGGAUUAGAGGUGUAAUGGAUUAGAGGUGUAUUGGAUUUGAGGUGUAAUAGCAAAUCAACUGUUUGGUUGAAUGUAAUGGAAUAGAGGCGUAAUAGUAAUCUUGUGUUUGGUUGAAUGGAAUAGAGGUGUAAUAGCAUAAUGGAAAAAACUAAAAUGACUAGAAUACCCUUACCAUAAAUUUGUUUUGGUAAAUGAUUAUUGUUAUUGUUAUUUAAAUUUUAAUAAGAUUAUUAAUAUCAAUAAUAAAUAAUUUAAUCAUAUUUAAACAUAAUUAUUAUUAAAUAUAUUAUAAUUAAAAUAUAUAAUUUAAUAAAAUUCUUAAUAAUCAAUAUUCUUAUAUGAAUUUACUCAAAUCAUAAUAUAUGAUACUAUAAAAUAUAAAUUAACAUAAUUAUUAUUAAAUAUAUUAUAAUUAAAAUAUAUAAUUUAAUAUUAUUAUUAUUAAUCAAUAUUCUUAUAUGAAUUUACUCAAAUCAUAAUAUAUGAUACUAUAAAAUAUAAUUUAACAUAAUUAUUAUUAAAUAUAAUUUAAUAAAAAUAUAUAAUUUAAUAAAAUUCUUAAUAUUAAAUAUUCUUAUAUGAAUUUAAUAAAAUCAUAAUAUAUAAUACUAUAUAAUAUAAUUUAAAAUAAUUAUUAUUAAAUAUAAUUUAAUAAAAAUAUAUAAUUUAAUAAAAUUCUUAAUAUUAAAUAUUCUUAUAUGAAUUUAAUAAAAUCAUAAUAUAUAAUACUAUAUAAUAUAGAUUAAUAAUGUAGAGACUUGCUAAGAAAACAUGGAUUAAACAAAUGUCAAGCAUAGGCUUCUUCCAAAAAAUUUUUCUAUGAACAAUCACAUAGGCAUAAAGCAACCAUGGUAAACUAUAAAAAAAAAAAAGAUCUAUAUGUUAUCAAGCAGCAAAUCUGUGUUUGUAACUUCUAAUAUAUAAGUUCUGCAUGCAUAUUCAAGAAAAACAACUAGUAUACAAAUCACUUAACAUACAAAAGUUAAACUAUAAAGCAGUAAACAGAGUGACAUUAAAGUGAACUUGAAACAACCAACACUGACUCAUAAAACAGAUUCUUAAGCCUUAGCAACAGCUUUCUAGUGACAUUUACAUGCAAUCGCAGGCUUUGAGAAAUGAUGUAGACUAGGGUCAUUUUCUCAUUUACAAACAUUAUGGACAAACAUUGCAAGUAUAGACAGGUUUUCUAUCCACACUUUAUUUCAUCAAAAAUAUUGCAAGUAUCUCUUCAUCAGUCGAGUACAAAUUAUCAAAAUCUGACUCGAACUCUUCAUCAUCCACAUCGUCUCGUGGUUGCACCUCCAAUUCAUCCAUCAAUUCAUCAUCGGUCUCCUCAUGCUUCCCAGCUAACUUUCUACGCAAAAUGGCCUCAAGAACUGAAGGGAGUGCCUCUUCAUCCCCUUCAAAGUACUUCUUGAUUCGGGUUUUCAGCUCUGGCACCAAAUAACUAAGUUAAACAACAUAACAAAAAAACAAACUAUCAUGAUUUAUCCAAACAAAUAUAUACAUAUAUCAUGAUUUAGUUUCCCUUCCUUUCUCAACAACCAAACAAAUAAUUUCCAAAUAAAAAAAAAGUAAAUUCCAGCAAAGAAGAAGCAAAGAUUAAAAAAAAAUAAUUUCAUCUUAUUCAACUCUUGGAAGAAAUCAUAUAAAAUUUAGUUUUAGCCUUAAGUUCUACACCAGUAGCAUCAGUUGACACAUUAUACACAUAGGCAAAUUCAAAAUACUAAGAAAGAGCUAAACAUUGUAGUAACCGAUUAACUUUCUGAUAUAUUAAUGAGUCAUCCAUUUCAACAUCACCAACUACACAUAUAAAUAAGAGUACCAUAGAGUCGCAUUUGCAAGCUAUGCUACUCGUACUCGAGUAUGUUCAGUUUUUUAAGUUUUUUGAGACAUCUUCAAACUCGUAUCCGGAGAUAUACCAAAAAAAGGCCAGCCAUGAAUACUUCAGGAAAAGAAAUAAAAGUUGCAAGUCUAGAAUUCCAAGCAACUACUGUUCUAGAUGAAAAGGGCAUAUCAAAGCUCCUUUUCAAAAGCAUAUGCAAUUUUCCAACUGAUGACAGCAAACUAAUUCUAGAAUAAGAGCUAAACUAUAUACAUAUAUAACUCAAAUAUAUGUGCUACAAUGAAAAACAAUCGGCUUCAUCACCGUUCUCAACAUGGUCUACUGUGUUAUUAAUUUUAUGAAUUUAAGCAAUGAGAAAUGCUACCAGAGACACCGAUCACCUCUCCUUAGGUAAUGCCAAUUUUUUAUCUUUAGCUACAACAUUCGGAGCAAACAGUAACAGAUAUGAACAUCAUAUUUGAAAUGAAUGGAUGGUCCACUGGAAGGUAAGUUAUAAUAGUAGUCCUAUGUCCUACCAAUUGUAUUGAUGCAAGUAAUAUCAAUGCUAUUAACUAAUUUAAGGGAGGCAUCCAACAACAGAAGGCGAAGUUGGUCCAUCCAAAGAAAAGACAAAAAGAAGCUGGAGUCCAAACACCAUAGUUGAAGCAGGAAAAUCAUCUAAACAAAAGGCUUUGCAUGUCCAGAACCAGAAUGCAGGCAUAUUAUAGCCUUGUGACAAGUAUUAUAACAAAAAAAAUAACAGCCAAACCUCUUGUCCAGCACCAGUUGAAAUGAUUGAAGUCGAUGAGAAAUCUUCCAAUUCAGCAGCCUUUUCUCUUGCAAGAGCAACAACACUUUCAGGAAAAUUGGCAAAUUCUACCACAUGAAUACCAAAACUUUCAGGAUAAACAGGUAUAUUUCAGAAGCUAUAAAUCAUGAAUAAAGCCUUAGUGCAACACAUAAAGCAAAUAACCUAUCAAAUAAUUACAGUUCUUCACAGCUUGCAGACCUUAGCAGCAAUAAGUCCACUAAUUUGAGCCAUAUCACAAAGCAAAACAGCACCACACUUAUCCGCAAUCUGUCGAAACCUUCCGUAAUCCCAUUCCCUCGAAUACGAACUACCACCACAAAUCAAUAUCUUAGGCCUAAAAUCAAGCGCCCUCUAUUCCAACUUCUCAUAAUUUAUAUACCCAGUUUGUGGAUUUACUUUAUAUGGCAAACUCUCAAAGAAAAUUGAAGCAGAAGAUACUUUUCUACCAUGUGGGGUAUAAUACCCAUGACUGGUAUUCCAUCCUGAUAGAGUAUCCAAUCCCAUGAUCCUAUCUCCGGGCAAUAGUAACCUAGUAUAAACUGUGGCGAAGAUGAAACUAACCCUAAAGAGAGCGUUGAUAAAGUGUCAGCCGAUUGAGAUAACAAAUCCAUGGAACAAAAGCUUGCAUUCAAACAAAACCCAAACGAAAAAAAUGAAUAAAUAAGAGAAAAAUUAAAACAGAGAAAGCCGAAGACAAUGUUGAAGCAAAGAUUCAUACCUGAAAUCGGCCUCCGAUGAAACAAUGUUGAGGAUUUGUUAUGAAAGCAGAAGAAAUGAGGAUAGAUCUGCAAUGCCGAUGGAAGAAGAAGCAGAAAUUAUGAGGGCAGAAAAAGGAAACGAAAAUAAGAAAUGGGGUAAGAAUUCUCUAAUCGGCGCUGGAUGGGGGAAUAGCUAUUACGGGACCGGGUGUAUUAGGGAAGGAACAGAUUUGGGACGUAAUGGUAAUACAACCAACCAAACAACAGAUUAAAUGGGGAUUAUGUGGGGCCCAUCGAUUAGGGGUGUAUUGGCUAUGCCAAUACAUCCAACCAAACAUGCUGUAAAUCUAUGGUGUUCUUUAGCUUAAACACCUCUAAGAACCAAAUACAUCUUUAUGGCGAGAUGUUGGGCAUGCGAGUUGUGGAUAAAUUGGACAAUUAUCUUGGUCUGCCUCUCCUCGUGGGCAGAAAGAAGACAAUUUCUUUUCAAGACAUCCUUAAUCACUUUUCUAAUAAGAUUAAUAGUUGGUCAAAGCGGUUAUUAUCCUAUGGUGGUAAAGAGGUUUCAUUAAAUCAAUUUUACAAUCCUUACCAACUUAUGCUAUGUCUGUUUUUCUUGCUCCCAAGGGCACUACAGAGGAGAUGCUUUUAAAAUUACGACAUUUAUGGUGGACUAGCAAGGAGAAAGAUAGAGGACGGGACAAUAACAUUAGAAUUGGUGUGGAUAUUUGGGGGUUUGAAGGCCUUAAUGGCAAUUCCCUUUGCUAUCAUAUGUCUAAUAUUUCAGAAAAAAUGGUUCGUGAUCUUUGGGUGCCCAACUCUUUUGCAUGGAAUAAGGAUUGGGUUUGUGAGCUCUAUGGUGAGCUUGUGUGGGAUCGUAUUUGUGACCUCUCUAUUAUUUCUAAUGGUUUGAAUGAUAAGGUGAUAUGGUUCCAUAACAUCAUGGUCUUUUUCAUGGAUUUUUCUUAAGAGAAUAGGCCUUGGUCCGCAUUGUCUUUUUUGGAAGUUCAUCUGGAAGAUUUAAGGUUCUUCCCAAAAUUCGUGUUUUUGCUUGGACAAUUGGCCAUGAGCUGCUCCACAUGAAUGCCAAAAUUUCCUCCGUUAAACAGAAUGCUAGACAGGACUACCCAAGGUGUGGUGCUAGUGAAGAAACUGUUAUUCAUGCGCUCAAAGACUACCUGAAAACCAAUGCCAUUCUUGCCUUCAGUGGUCUCGGUGGUAGGCUCAUUGACAAAGAACAUUGUUAAUGUAUUGAUUGGCUUGAAGAUGUUAUACGAUUGUUAGACAAAAAAACCUUUGAAGAUUUAAUUAGGACUCUUUGGAAUGGUUGAAACAGUCGCAAAUUUGGUUACAAGGACCCAAAAUCAUUUAACUCGAACAAAUAUAAUCGAUUUGAUUUGAUUCAAAUUCCAUCUCACUUAAUCUGAUUCGAGAAAAUUUCAAAUCGAGUUAGGAUGAUAAAAUAGGAUUCAUCAACUCAAUUAACUCGAAAUUUUUUCAUUCGAUUUGAUCGAACGCUCACCCUUAAACAUGGUACAACUUGAGCUACAAAACUUUGAUACGUGGAUAAUACCUUCGAUUGUUGGGGGUUUAAGUUAGGUACCAUGAGGACAUACUUUGAAGAUUUCUCUAAUAGGGAGAUGAUUCCCCCUCAAUAAAAUAUAUUUAAAUUGUUGUGAAAUUAUUAUGUUUAAUUUGUUUGGAUUUUUAUUUAGCUACAUUUUUAAUUUGUAUUCAUUUCUUGUUAAUUAUAAAUUUAUUUUAUUUAAAUUAGUUUUUUUGUUUCAUUUUAUAUUAUUCGCAAAUUUAGAUUCGGAUGUUUGCAUAUUCAAAUAUCCGACAUAUGAUUGAAAAUGUUAAAUUUAAAUUUUUUACAGAUUUAGAUAUAUGAUGAAUAAUGAUAUUUAAUUCGGAUUUGGAUAAUUUCACUCGGAUAAUUUGUGAAUUCAAAUUAUCAAACAGAUUGACAAAUUCGAAUUUAAAUAGUUAAAAUUGCAGAUAUUCAACCUACUGCAAUUCCUACUUAAUUCAGUUUUUUUAUUAUGAAAAUUUCCAUUACAAUUGUCAUUUUUCUACCUAAAAAUUUGGAAUCCAUAAAGUUUUCUUUUUUUAAUAUUGCAAUCCCUAAAGAUAAAUGCCCAUAAACCACAUUCGUUUUAUAUUAAUAAUAAUUCUAAACGAUAAUCCUAGCUUAUAUUCGUAACAAAAGAAAAGGACAAAAUGAAAAAAAAAAAAGCAAAGGGCAAAUGACAAAUUAACAUACAUAAUUGUAUUUUUUCUGUAAAAGAAACAUACACGGAAACCAACACAUGCUAGUACUGUGUCAAAUUAAGCAUUCAGUUAAUUCAUCCUACCCCUCCUUCGAUUCUGCAUCUUUCUUUUAAAAUACUUGAUAAACAACUUAUGUUUCAUCGGGUUGAAGGGGUAUCUCACUACCGCACUUCCAUAUCCCAACAUGAUCGCUUUCCACCCAAAUUGAAGCCAUGAAUCUUCACCGUCAUCUUUCUUUGACAAUGAAGGCGGCGGUGGUGAUAAGCCUUCGGGAUAGCAUUUCUUUGACAAUGGAUUCUCAUAUAAUCCUAGGUUGCCCUCAAAUAAGUUUUCGAACGUACCAAAUUGUUUGCCUUGCGGUAUAGGUCCGGUCAAAUUAAAAAAUUCAAGGAAAUUGAGUUGCACUAGCUCCUGAGGGAUCUCUCUAGAGAGCUUGUUCCGAGAAAGGUCCAAAGCUUGGAGGUUUGUGAGAUUUGCUAAUGAUUAUGGGAUUGGACCCGAAAGAAAAUUGUUAGAAAGGUUGAGGAAUUGAAGUGCCUUUAGAAUUUGAAUGUUUUCUGGAAUGCAGCCAUCAAACUUAUUGCUUGAGAGAUCAAUGACUACCAAGGAAGCUUGAAUCUUCUCGUAUUUUAUUUUCACGCCUGCCUUUGUGAUUGUCAUUAAGGAGAAACACCAACCUGACUUUCUUCUCCCACUUCAGAACUAACGUUUGCCCCCAAGUACCUUAACUUGCCAACAUCACCAACCUUCAUAGCCUUCCAUCUUUGGAAGUGACACAAUGACAAACAACCUGUCAAAUUAUUGAAGGAAAGAUCAAGAAUUUGCAACUUUGAAAACUCGUUGGAUUUUGGUUCUCCAAUUGCACCAUAAAAUCCAUUAUUGAAACUAAAUAUCCAUUUAUAAUUUAAAGAUUCCUCGUGAGAAUAAAGAUUUUGGAUAUUGAAACCAAUUAUCCAUUUAUAAUUUAAAGUUAAUUUUUUAUUUUUUAAAAUUAAUAUAAUAUUUUUAAGAAUCUAAUUAAUUAGAUAUUUUAUUUUUAAUUGCAAUUAAGAAAAAUAAAAAUGAACAAGAAAAAUAUCAUUUCUACUCUUUCAAAUAUUUUAUAGUAUUUGUUAAGUUUUUUUUAUUGAAUUAGUGUCACCUUCAACUAAGACACACACCCGUAUCUCUACCCGUGUGGACGAAAUAGGCCAUUUUCAAAGCCACAUUUCUCACCCAAUUUAUUUUCCACCUACAUUAACACUUUAACAUAUCAUCAAGCCAACCAAAGCAUUCAAAUCAAGCCAAAAAUCUAGUUUUUAUACAUAUCAUAACUCCACAUAUAAUCAAGUAAUUAUACUUACCUAUUUGUCCAAUCACACAUAUAGGCUUAUUUGUAUCUAUUAUACCAAUUCAAAGCAAUCCAUCAAUAUGCUUAUGAGUUAUUCACCUUUUCACCAUACGAAUCUCACCUCAAGCAUGAUAAGGCCAUAUAUAAUUACAUUAAAAUAUGUCCAACACAAGCCAUUCCAAUGGCUAAUUAUAACAUAAUACAUUUAAAAGCCAACAUUGACUAUUUAGCCUAUACAUGCCAUUAUAACCAAAAUUGAAAUUCUAUAUAUACCGAAUGAGCUGAUACAUAACGUGAUGUAGCUUUGCCAGCUUCCAGCCUUUACGAGCUUUCGAGUACUAUAAGACAGGGGAAAAUAAAAUAGAGUAAGCUUUAAAACUUAGUAAGUUCGUAUAACAGGAAGUUAACUUACCAUUAUUUCAUAUAUAAGGUAAGUAUACAGGAAAUAUCCAAUCAACUUGGCCAUAGCCUAAACACAUAUCCAUAUCACAUUAGCUAAGUAAUCACAUGUAUAAACCAUAAUCAUGGAUGAUCAAAGUUAUCAAGUAAAUUCCACAUUCGUGUAACAACCAAUUCAUGCUUCAAUAAAUCAAGUAAUAUCAUUUCCAUGUAUUUUAGGUAUAUACCAGUAUAGUUCAUUUUAAAUUCACAUUGUAUCAUGUCAGAACGUUGCCCAUUGAACCAUUUAAAAAUUGAUGUAUACAAGGGUAUUACACAUGAAGUGUACAAAACUGCAAUCCGUCAAUUCUUACAAUAUCUAUCAAUUCAUAUUUGGGAAUGCUCAUAUGAGCACAUAAACGGGAAGCUCUUCUGAGCCAUAUAACGGGAAGUUAAUGUGAGCUAUGAAAUGGGAAGCUCAUGUGAGCCAAUAUCGAGAAGCUCCAAAGAGCCAUUAACGGGAAGGGCAUGAGAGCUGCGGUGUGUCCACAACACAUGCGGAAUCACAACCAAUCGGGAUGCUCAUAAGAGCUAUUAACAGGAACUCGUGAGAGCCAUAUAUCAAGAAGCUCAAGAGAGCCAAUAUCGGGAUGCUCAUGAGAGCUAAUAACGAGACGUUCUUACAAGCUGUGGUGUGUUCACAACACAUGCAGGACCACAACCAAUUCGGGAACCCUAUAUCUAUCGAAUUUCAUUUAUUCAAAGGAGACUUAAUACUUUUCUGUCGUCAUCGGAUAUGUGAUUAAUUUCAUAUACAUGGUAAUAAUACAAUCUCAUACAUACAAUUCAAUUAACACAUAUAAAUUCUCAAUUUAGUUACAUGAACUUACCUCAACAAUUGUACGUUGAUUUGUUAUCUACUAAUCUGAUACUUUUUCUUUUCCUCGAUUUAACUUCGUAUUUGAUCUAUCCAUAUCUAUACGAAUGAAUUUAACAUCAAUUCAUAAUCAAUUUAAUCCAAUUCACAUCUUUGGAGAAAUUAUCAUUUUGCCCCUAUAUUUUGAUUAAUUAUGUUUUCGUCCCUAGGCUCGAAAAAUGAAAUUCAUACAAUUUAAUCUUUAUUCCAAGCCCACACGAUUUUUACAUAUAACAUUAGCAGCCCAUGUAUUUCAUAAAAUUUAGAAUUUUCCAUGAAUUUGACAUCUUUUCAAUUUAGUCCCUAAAUCAUAAUUUCAUCAAAAUUCCCUUUACAAAAGUUGUUUAUCUAUCAACAACCUUUCAUUUUCUACCAUAAAACUUCAUAAUUAAACUAUAAUCAUCCAUGAAAACUUUGAUAACGUUGCAAAUUAAUCCCUGAGAUAGCUAGAUUAAGCUAUUAUGAUCUCGAAAACAUGAAAAUUAUUAAAAAUGGAACAAGAAUACUUACCCAAUUAAGCCAAAAAAGCUUUCUCAAAACUCAAUUUCCAUGGCUAGGGUUUCCAUGUUUUCUGUUUAGGAAAGAUGAUAUAAAAUGAUGAUAUUUUGUUUUAUUUUAUUAUUUAUCAUCUUUAAUUAUUUCAUCUUUCCAAUUUCAUUAUUUUCUUUAUUAAAUUUUCCAAUGAUGAAUCAUCAUACUUAUCUACUAACUCUUCUAAAUGGUCUAUUUACCAUAUAAGGACCUCCAAUUUUGAAUUCCAUAACUAUUUGAUCCCUUUAGCUAUUAGAAUCCAACUUUUGCACUUUAUGCAAUUUGGUCCUUUUCAUCAAAUUAAACAUGUAAUCAGUAAAAAUUUCUUUAUGAAAUUUUCAUACGACAUUUUUAUCAUAAUGUAGACCAUGAAAUAAUAUGAAAAUAAUUUUCCUUCCAGACUCAGAUUUGUGGUCCCGAAACUACUAUUUCGAUUUCACUGAAAACAGACUGUUACACUAAAUCUGUUGUUUUGAUGGGAAAUAAUACUUUGCGUAAAAUCGUAGGUGUUGGAACAAUUAAAGUUAAGAUGUUUGAUGGAGUUUUCAGAACACUUAGUGACGAACAACAUGUUCCAGAAUUGAAGAGAAAUUUAAUUUCGUUGAGUACUCUUGAUUCAAAAGGGUACAAGUACACAGUUGAAAGUGGGGUUUUGAAGAUUUCCAAAGGCUCCCUCGUUAUGAUGAAAGGGCAGAGAAAGACUGCCAAGUUAUAUGUUCUGCAGGGUUCUACUGUUACUGGUGACGUAACUGUUGCUUCCUCUUCAUUGUCAGAUGAUAAUAUUACUAAACUUUGGCAUAUGCGCCUUGGGCAUAUGAGUGAGAACGGCAUGGAAGAAUUGAGCAAAAGGGGAUUUCUUGAUGGGCAAGGAAUUUGCAAAUUGAAGUUAUGUGAGCACUACGUUUUUGGGAACAAAAGAGAGUUUGAUUCACCAGAGGAAUCCAUAACACGAAGGGAACAUUAGAGUAUAUUCAUUCUGAUCUGUGGGGGCCAUCCAGAGUGCCUUCGAGAGGUAGAGCUAAUUAUAUGCUAACUUUUAUUGAUGAUUUUUCCAGAAAAGUUUGGGCAUUCUUCCUGAAGCAGAAAAGCAAUGUGUUUUCCGUAUUUAAGUCUUGGAAACUAUGAUCGAAAGGCAAACGAGAAAACAAAUAAAAUACCUCUACACAGACAAUGGCUUAGAGUUUUGUUCUAAUGAGUUUAAUAAACUGUACAAGUUAGAAGGGAUCGUAAGACACUUGACAGUUCAUCAUACUCCACAACAAAAUGACUUUACAGAACGAAUGAAUAGAAUGAUCAUGGAGAAGGUUCGAUGUAUGUUGCCAAAUACCAACUUACCAAAGUUAUUUUGGGCCGAAGUAGCCUUCACUGCAUAUUUUUUGAUCAACCGAUCUCCAUCCAUUGCCAUUGAGAAAAAGACUCCACAAGAGGUAUGGUCUAGUAAUCCUACUGACUAUUCUGAUUUAAAGAUCUUUGGGUGUCCUGCGUAUACUCAUGUUGAUAAUGGAAAAUUGGAACCGAGAUCCAGUAAAUGUGUUUUUCUUGGUUAUAAAGCUGAUGUAAAAGGGUAUAAGUUAUGGUGUCCUGAAAAUAGAAAAGUUGUGAUUAGCAGAGAUAUUGUUUUUUUAUGAAACUGCUAUGCUACCUGACUUAUCUCUUGAAGACUCUUCCAAUAAAGAAAAUCAAAAGUAGGUGGAGCAUCAGAUUAAUCCAGAAUCUACAACAGAGUCGACUCCUCAAGCUAGUAAAAAAAUUCAAAAUAGAGCUGCUUCUUCACCACAAUACUCUAUCGCCAAAAACAAAGCUAGAAGAGAAAUUAAACCUCUAAAGAAGUAUGCCGAGACUGAUCUAGUUGCUUAUGCUUUAAAUGUGGCUGAAGAUGUAGAUGCAAACCAAGAGUCAUCUCAUUAUUCUGAGGCGGUUAGCUGUGAAGACUUAGAAAAGUGGAUGUUUGCUAUGCAAGAGGAGAUGGAAUCACUCCUCAAAAAUAGAACACGAGAUCUUGUGAAACUUCCUAAAGAUAAAAAGGCUAUUUGUUGUAAAUGGGUGUUUAAAAAGAAAGAAGGGACUCUAGAAGUUAAAGAACCCAGAUAUAAAGGAAGGCUGGUUGCAAAGGGUUAUAGUCAAAUUCUAGGAGUGGACUUCACAGAUGUGUUCUCCUCAGUUGUAAAGCAUAGUUCAAUUUGAGCUUUCCUUGGUAUUGUGGCCAUGCAUGAUUUGCAGCUUGAGCAGUUAGGUGUAAAAACUGCAUUUUUGCAUGGAGAACUUGAGGAGGAUAUUUACAUGCAACAACCAGAGGGUUUUACAGUAUCAGAAAAAGAUGACUAUUUUUGCUUGCUGAAAAAGUCCCUUUACGGUUUGAAAUAGUAUCGAGACAGUGGUACAAGAGAUUUUAUUCCUUUAUGACUUCUCAUUAUUUCAAAAGGAGUAGUUUUGAUAGUUGUGUUUACUUUAAGAAAAACAGUGAUGGUUCUUUUGUGUAUCUACUCAUUUAUGUUGAUGACAUGUUGAUAGCAACAAAAGAUAAAUGAGAGAAAAGAAAACUCAAAGCCCAACUAAGUGAAGAAUUUGAGAUGAAAGAUUUGGGACCGGUAAAGAAGAUACUUGGUAUGGAGAUUCUCAGAGAUAGAAAAGCAAGUAAAUUGUACCUAAGUCAGAAGGGGUACAUUGAGAAAGUUCUUUGCAAGUUCAAUAUGUAGAGUACUAAGCCUGUUAGUACUCCUUUAGCAGCCUAUUUCAGAUUUUCAUCGGCUUUGUCUCCACAAUCAGAUGAUGAGAUUGAGUACAUGUCACAUGUUCUAUACUCUAAUGUAGUGGGAUCUCUCAUGUAUGCUAUGGAUUGUUCACGUCCAGAUUUAUCAUAUGCAGUCAGUACAGUUAGCAGAUACAUGGCAAAUCCUAGUAAAGAACAAUGGAAAACAGUUCAGUAGAUUUUAAUAUACUUACGAUGUAUUACUGAUGUUUGCUUACAGUUUGGAAGAACUAGAGAUGAAGUCAUUGGGUAUGUUGAUGCUGAUUUUGCAAGAGACCUUGAUAGAAUAAGAUCUCUCACAGGUUAUGUCUUUACAAUCGAAGGUUGUGCAAUUAGUUGAAAAGCCACUUUGCAAACUACAAUCGUUUUGUCUACCACUGAAGCUGAGUAUAUGGUGAUUACUGAGGCUUGGAAAGAAACCAUUUGGUUGAAGAGACUUUUUAGUAAAAUCAAUGAAGACCUUCAAAUCAGUACAGUAUUUUGUGACAGUCAGAGUGCCAUUUUUCUAACAAAAGAUGAAAUGAUUCAUGAGAAAACAAAACACAUUGAUGUUCGGCAUCAUCUUGUUCGUAAUAUUAUUGUUUGUGGUGAUAUUGUUGUGAGCAAAAUUAGUACUCAUGAAAACCCUAUAGAUAUGAUGACUAAGUCACUUCCUAUAGCCAAGUUUGAGCAUUACUUAGACUUGGUUGGUGUUCAUUGUUGAAGAUAAACCUUUAAGGGGUUUUAUGGAAGAGGUGGAGAACUUGUUCAUUAAGAGUUCGUGAUGAAGAACUUGUUCAUUGAGAAUUCGUGUCAAGGUGGAGAUUGUUAGAAUUGAGUGACUCGAAUCUUUAUUUAAAUAAAAUACAGUGGUAAAAUAAAUUAAAAGUUAAAUCCAUAUAGAACUACACUUCUUUAUUUUAUUUUAGAAUAAGGUUUUUUAAACCUUAUUAAACUACAUUUAUUUGAUAUUGAUUAGAAUAAGGUGUUUCAAUCUUACUACACUCCUAUUAGAAUAUGAUUUUACAAGCCUAUAAAUAGAUAUAGUCUACUCCUUUUGUAAUCAUUCGAAUUCGACAUAGUGAAUUUUCUUCUCCUCUGCCCGUGGUUUUUUCUUGAAAGGGUUUCCAUGUAAAAAUUUAUGUGUUCUUUAUUUUUAUUUCUCUUUUCUUUGUGAUAUAUUGUCAUUACUGACAUUCUAUUUUUACAGAAUGUUUUGUGUUCGUGGUUUUGUCUUGAAGUUUUUACAUAGUUUAAUUUCAACUGUGAAUUAGCGUUUUAGUUUAAUUGAGCUGUUAAUAGAGUUAUUGAAUGGUCGUUUUAGGCUUCGAAAGUCUGCUGUAUUGUUCUUACUUUGAAUUGCUAACAAGUGCGUAUCAAAAAUCUGGCUUUCUGUAAAUUUUGGAGACCGAAAACCAUAGCUGUCGACGCAACACGGUUGUAUGCCAGGCUGUGUGAACCACAUGAUUGUAUGUCAAGUCGUGUGGCAAACCUUGUAACCCACUGUUCAUGAAUUAGAGACAUACGAGCUAGGGACACGAACUUUAACUCAUUGUUCACAACUUAGAGACACAUGAGACAGAGACAUAGGCUGUGUCAGGCCGUGUGAGGCCACACAGGUUAGCUGUGUAAGCCGUGUGAAACCACACAGGCGUGUAGACCAAAAACUGGAUUUUCCUUUAGGCUACGUGCUUUGUUUGAAACGAAUAUCGAUCCUCUAUGGGGUUCAUAUGAACUACAUUGAAUUGUAUAAAUUACUAUUUUAUGAUCCUUGACUGGGUACUAGAUAACUGUAUACGUAUUGCAUGUGAAAAUCGUUAGUGAUGUCGAUAUAUAUAUUUCGUAUGAGCUUGAUUUGUAUCUGAAUGGUUAUACAAACUUCUGCAUUAACUGUCACUUUAAUUCUGUAUUUACAUUGGGUUUAGAACUUUAUAUUGGAGGUAGUGGUAUGCUCUGAAUCAGCGGCUAAGCCACAGAGAUUGUAAUUGAAUUCGGUGUUUAACGUAAUCUGUACAACAACUAGGUUGCAGAUAUUUUGAAAUGUGUCAUACCGGCACUAUAUGGUGUGUAAGGCUGGAUGGGUAUUGAAUACCUAUUGUAGUGUGUUGGGUUGGACGAAGAUGGCAUGUAGUGGAUGGGGGUAGGAAACUGAAUUUGAUUCUAAUUUGUUCCGUAUCUGAAAUUGGUGACUCUGCUAAACAUUUGUUCUAUUAAGCAGAACUAUACAUUCUCUGUUUCUGAUUAUGUAUAUAGUUGAGAAGUUACUUUUGAAAACAUAAUUCUACAAAUUGUAUUUUGAAUCCGUUUGUUGAGUUAGUUACUCAUUUUGACUAUUGAUUGAACUGUAGGUAGCCCAAGGUUUAUCAGGUCAGUGGAUUAGGAGCUCAGUUGUUCUACUUAUAUCUUUUACGUUAUUAGUAGUUUUAAUACGCUUUUCGUAAAUUUGAUUUCCUAGGAUGUUGAAUCGUGAAUUGAAAUUUAUGUUUGUUAAGUUCCUUUGAUUCAGAAUGGUUUUAAAAACAAAACAAAACUUUGGGAAUUCGUGUUUUGAGAAAUCAUUGAUAUAAUUCUUCAGACUUGACCUUAUCGUCUAGGUCGGGUAUGGGACGUUACAAAUUUGAAAUCCAUAAAGUUUUAUUUUUUAAUAUUGCAAUCCCUAAAGAUAAAUGCCCAUAAACCACAUUCGUUUUAUACUAAUAAGAAUUCUAAAUGAUAAUCAUAACUUAUAUUCGUAAUUAAAGAAAAGCCUGUAAUAGGCCGAAUUUUUCGGGCCCAUAAAAAACCAAAACCAAAAUAAAACAAAAAAAAACAAAAGUAGUAAAAGUCCACUGGUCCAAAAAGUCUAUUUACAACUUUUUUAAUCCAAAAAUAAAGGCCCAAAUAUUAAACCUAAUAAACCUACACCCAAAAUCCCAAAGUCCCCUAGUCCAAUUCACAAACGGCCCAAAGAGCCCAACAGCUUGAAAAUACCAGAAACCUAAAGGUUUCUAGAACACGCUAGUACUGCAAUCGGGCUUUCACGAGGGGUUUUCCCACGCACGGCUUCCACACCUCCGUACGACCGUUUCUCCACAAUUGCAAUAGAAUACACGGGAAGAAGCAGCUAACAGAAUACACAACAAAUGACAUAAGGAACAUAUAAUUUUUAUUUUUCAUAUAUUCUAUAAAUCUGGCUAUAAAAAGCCAUUAUCUGUACCUUGAAAAUACUACGCAUACUGAAAUACGAAAACUCAAUACAAAGAAUCAAGAAGGUGAUUUUAAGUUUUUUUUCUCUCCUCCUUCGUCUAUAAUAUUUUUGUUUCUUUUUGCAUCUAUUUUGCUUCGUAGAAUAAUCUCUUUUUUUUUUUAAAAAAAGGAAAUGAAAGAGGUUUAGCUAGAUGCAUCAACGAGAUCCUUGUUUCCUCCGUCGAAAUCAGAGUUUGAAAUGGGGAUUUCCGAGUGAAAGCAGUCAUUGAGUUUAGACUUUGAUCAAAAUAAGGAGCGUCUUUACAUCAUCCACCAAUUUUAAUGGUGAACUGAUGGUUGAAUUGCCGGAUUGGAUGGAGGAGGGCUGCUGUGCCGAAACCCUAGUAAUUGGGUAUUAGGUUUGUGGCUUGAAGAAAUGGCCAAUUGCCAUUCAAUGGCUUUUAAUUUUGAAACAAAAUGAAACGGUGCAGUUUAAGGGUAGGGAGAUCCGCACGUUGACCCAUUCCCAGACUCGGAUCUGUGCCUCUAUGCUUCAAAUGGGAAAUUGGCACGGUUAAUCCCUCCCUUUUGCGCCGCAUUUCAGUUGACCCGUAUUGGCAUCUUAUUUGUUUUUUAAAAUUUCCCCAAAAGUUUGUGUGCUAUUUCAUUUUAGUCCGCGUCUAGAUGCUGCGUUUUGGGGAUCUGGAAUAUUGCUAACUUUGGCCCCUGUACAUUUUUUUGCAUUGCAUGAUGGUCCUCUUUUUGAUUAUUUUAUUUGUAAAUUAUCCCUGCUAUUUUAAGUUUAUUUUAAUUAAGUCUUCUGUUUAUAUAAUUCGUUAUUUUUUAAGGAGAUUCACUUAAUUUUUUUUAUAAAAAAAACUACUUUAAUAUUUUUUACUUUGUUUAAAAGAAUCAUUAUUUUGAAGUUUUAUAUUAUAUUAUUUUAACAUUAUGUAAAAUAUUCUGUUUACAUAUUUUUAUAUACUUUUGCACAUAUAGUAUUUUAGUUGAGCUUUCUAUUUGGAAACAAUUAUAUUUUAAAAUCUAUCUAUAUAUAUCUGUUAAUAUAUUUUAAUUAUUUCGCUUUGUUUUUAUUUGUAUAAUUAUUUUGAAGUUUGUUUUAUCAUGUUAUUUUAACAUUUUUGUAUAAUAUCUCAUUUAAAUAUUUUUGUGUAUAUUUGUACAUAUAUUGUUUUCAUUGAGUUUUUAAUUUGUAAUGCCUAUUAUUUUAAAGUUCUAAAUAUUUUUAUAUAUGUAUUGAGCCAUCUUAAUAACUUUAUUUUGUUUUGUAAGAUCAUCGUUUUGAAAUUCUUUUUACAUUAAACUAUUUUAAUAUUUUUAUGAUAUUUUGUUGAAUGUUUUUGUAUACAUUGGUACAUAUGUUAGACCUAUAUACAUCACUAAAUUUAUGUAUUUUAUAUAUAUAGUUUUUUUUUGUAUACAUGAUUGUAUUUUUAAAAUUUGUUACAUAUAUAAUUUAUGGAAAAAUUAAUUUUAUAUACAUUAUUAAUCUCAUGCUAUUUUUUAUAAAUAAUUACUUCCAAAUCUAUUUAUAUAUAUGUUUUGUAAAUCUAUUAUGUGUACAAUUUAUCUUCUAAGAUUAUAUUUUAUUAUGUAUUUUUACUAUCCUUUCAUAUCUUACGUAUUAUUUAAGUUAUCUUUUAUUGUCUAUAUAUUGUCAAUUUCAAAUAAAUAUUUUCUUAACAUUUUGCAUAUUACUUAAUUCAAAUGUCUUCCCUCUACAACAUUUAUUUUAAUAAUUAUAUAUCCCUAGUUUUUAUGCAAAUUUAUCAACUCAUAUAUUAUGUAUAUUAUGUGUUCAUUAAUUCAUCAUUAUUUUAAAAUUGUCUUAUACCACAUUAACUUCUAAUUGGCAUUUUGUUUUGUACAUGUUUUGUAAAUUGUUUUAUAUUGUGCCAUAUCUAUUGUUGUUGUAUAUUAUUUAUUCAUUGUUUUAUUUGUUAUAUCAAUUGUUCUCCAUCCAUGCUUAAAAAUUUGAUUACAUUUUUCUCAGAUUCAUUGUAUUUAAUUGUUUGCUUAGGUAGUUGGUUAGAUAACGUUGUGUCAUCUUCAUUCAUCAAGUAUUGUACUUUAUGUGGGCAUAUUAUUAAUCCUUUUUUAUAUAUCCAAAUGUUGCUUUGUAAUGUCCAUUUUUUUAAAUAAUUAAUUAUUCCAUCUUAUUUUAAAACAAAUAAAUGUGUUUUGAGCUAAUUUCUAAUUUUCUUUAUCAUUCAAAGAUUCUAAAAUAAGAUAAUAUUUAAUAUUUAGAAAUUUCGAAAGUCGUGCCCUAUCGUGCUGGGUAUGAUUUUUCGUCAGACUAAAUAUUUGGAUAUCCUUUUAUAAUUUUUGGCGUAUUAGCUUUUGAAAGUCAAAAAUCAAUCGUAUUUUUGAAGGUAUAAAGGAUCGUGUCCAAUCGUGCUGGAUAUGAUGCUGUAUACCUUUAAAACGAGAGAAUUUUGACGGCUAACUUGAACUACUUAAGUGUUUUAAUAAGAAUCAUGUUUUAAAACUUCUUUUUUUUUUUUGAAUCUAGACAUAGGGAUAGCACUUAAUCAAUCUGGUACCAAUUUUUGGGCGUAUUGAGCGUGUUAACCUUUCCUCAUACGUAACCGGCUCUCGAACCGAUUUUUUUAUGUGGACCAAAAUUGAUUUAAAUGAUACAAAAUGAUUUAGUAGGUGACCCAAUCACACCCAAAUAAAAAGAUUGGUGGCGACUCCACAUUUUUUGUUUUAAAAGUCGAUUCCUGUUUUUCUUCAAAAAUAAAAAAAUGGUUUCGACAGCUUCAUGACUCCACUGGGGAUUGAACAAGAGAAUCAAGCUAUAAAAUUGAUUAUUUGCUGUCCUUUUGUCAAGGAAUUGAAAAUUUGUUUUAAAAAUCAUGUUUCUUUUGAUUGCAUUUGUUUGUAUGAUUGUUAUGGUUUGGGUCUUAUAGAAUAAUAUUUCAUUGUAUUGCAUGACCGCUGUGGUUAUAUCUGUUAAAUGAGAGUAAAAAACUAUGCUUUCGUGAGGUUUUCACCUCCACAUGGGCUAGUGGAUUGUUUUCGGGAUACAUCCGUACCUAUGAUUUCGUGAGAUUUUUAUCUCUGCAUGGUCAUAGGAAAAUGUAUUCCCCUGAACCGAACUCGAUCCAUAUCAGCCUAUAGUGGGUGAGGAUUGAGGAAUCUGCUAGUUCAGGUAUCUUCUCUUUAGAACUGAGCCACAUAUAGUGAACCUUAAGAGCUAUCCUUAGGUAGAGCCGUGUUAAGCCUUAGUAAUUGCCUAUAUAUAUGUUUUGAUUAUCUUUGUUGUGCUUGUAUUUUAUCACUUAUAUUUGAUACUAACUUGUGUUGUUUUGUUUUGAUUGUGUUUUGCAUAACAUUGCAUACUAAAGGAGGUGUUGGUUCUUAUUCGAUUACUAAGUUAGAAGAUUUAACAUGGAGAAUGAAUUUCUUAAUAAAGUUGAGGAUAAUGCGGUCGUCCGCGCAUGGUCAGAGAAGUUACAAUCGGAGAAGGGGGAUAGCCUGGCAGAAGGAUAUACAUUAGAGUUGUAGAAAUUCACUCGCAUCAAUGUAACGCAGAAUGAGUUGCAAGAGUUGAAAGACAUAUGGGCUCGUUGGAAUGAGGGAACCAAAUAGCUGUUCUAUUAUAGCUAUGGUGAUAUACCUUACUUGUUCGAUGUUAAGGUGGACAAGCAUUUGUUCCGAGGUAUGGCUCAAUUUUGGAAUUCUGCUUAUAAUUGUUUCACUUUUGGGGAAGUGGAUUUGGUGCCUACCUUGGAGGAAUAUACUACCCUGUUGAGGAGUCCAAAAGUUCAAGUCAGAAAAGCUUAUGCUAAGGUUUUUAAUGGUCAAACUUUUGCGAAGAAAUUGAUGAAUAUUUCGGGGAUGAGCGAGCCUUGGGUCAUUGCUCGAAUUCAACAAAAGGAGGAUAGUAAAUGUAUUCCUUGGGAGAAUUUGAGAGAUUUGGUUUUGACACAUCCGGAUGAAAAGAAGAGGGUCGAUAUCUUUGCCUUAAGCAUCUAUGGAUUGGUGAUUUUUCCCAAGGCUUUAAGGCAUGUGAAUGAGGCAGUCACUGACCUGUUCGAUUGUCUUGAGAAGGGAAUCACACCUGUACCUGCAAUAUUGGCUGAUGUUCAGAUCCUUGAGCAUGUGUCAGAGGACAGGCGAUGGUCAAUUUAUUGGAUGUGAACAGCUGUUGAUAGUGUGGUUUCAUGGGCAUUUUUGGAAAGUGAACAAGGUUUCUUAUCGGGUUUUCUCUGAAAGUUAUUCCCCAUUAAAGGAGGAGAUAGCUAUGCAAAGGAGAGAUGAUAUUCAGAGGAAAAAUGGAUGAAAAUUCUUCAAAAUCUAAAAGAGGAGGAUAUAGAGUGGAGAGCUUUUUGGAUGGUUCCUGAUGAGAUCCUGUAUCGAUGUGGGAACUUUGAUUGGGUACCAUUAUCAGGAAUUUGGGGAGCUACGGGAUAUACUCCUUUGUUUGCAUUAAAGUAGUAUAAAUUGAGGCAGUUCAUACCUAUAACUCAUGGGCUUGCUCAGUGUGAAUUCCCAUAUAAAGGUGACCAUUAUAAGAAGAAGGUUCGGGAAAUAUCUGAGGCUUGGAAGCAAACUCGUUGGAUGAAGAGGUUGACUGUUGGUUUUAUGACAACACCUGAGUACCAUGGAUGGUCUAGGAAAAGGGUCAAUGAUAAUAUUAAUAGACCAAGCUUGGAACAUACCCGACCAGUGGAGGAACAAUUACAAGUUGCCCCGUCAGAGUUGGAAAUUAUAAAGUAAGACUUUGAGAAGAAAAGUUUUGAGCUUGAGAAAAAGAUUGAGUAGUUAGAGGAAGAAAAGAUACAUCUGAGAUUAGAUGGGAGGUUUAGAAGUCAGAGGUAGAAAAGUUACGGAAAAGGAAGAAUGAAGUCGAGGAGGAUUUGGAAGGUUUAAAGACAGAUUAUAAAAAGUUACGCCUGUCAAUGAGGACUGCUGGGUUAGGUAAAACUUCAGAGCAAUGGCGUCAGGAAAUUCGAGAAGAAAAGACUAAGGCUGAUCAAUGGGAGAAGAGAUUCCAAGAGGCUCGAGCUCAGAAUGAGGCAUUGGAGAAAAGUUUGUCAGAGAGUAAAAAUGAACAAGACGAAUUAAGGGCUAGAGUAGUGAAACUUGAGAGAUCUCUAUGUCUGUACCGGAAUCGUAAUUCUGUGAUGGAGUUAAGAGUAAGCUUAAGCAAGAUCGAAGAGAUGAAUGGGAAAAUAGAAGAAUUAGAGACGGCACUGCAAAUUUGUAAAAUGAGGAUCGAGUUCUUGGAGGCAAAUGAGGAACAAUGGAAGAUUCAGCUUCACCACUCUCAAGAUCAAAUUAGAAGUAGGAAUUACAUUAUGGGAGAAGCUGUAACACAAAUUCGAGAAGUAGCUGAUUACUUGCAGUCUUCGGCAGUACAAGCAGACGUAUUAAAUGUGAAGUAUGAGUUGGAGUCAGAUAAGGGACAAGAACUAGUUUCAUUUCUUAGGAAAAUUAAGGCUCUGAGCGCUUGGGCGAAGUCUUAUUUGUAACUCAGUUUUAUGUAAAGAAUUUUGUUUUCUAGUAAAGUUUUCUAAAUGGAAUUGAAUCAGAAUUGAUGCAUCCUUUGCAUUCAUGCAUUUGCAUUACAUUACAUCAUAUGCAUUAAAGGCUAUAAUUACAUCAUAUGCAUUAAAGGCUAUAACAAGAUUCUAAUUAAUUAAAAAUUAUUUCAGUAAUCUGGAAACCAACAAAAACACACCAAAUACGCAUCCCUACGGUACAAGGAAAAAGACUAAGUCAAUGGACAAAAGACUUGAAAAGUUAGAGCAAAUGCAAAGGGAUAUGCAAGAACAAAUGCAUUCACAGAUGCAAGAGUAGCUUGUUAAGAUUCAAUAAGAGAUGAAAGAUCAAAUGAUGGAGUCCCAAAGACAGAUGAUGAGUCAGUUGUCCCAAUUACUGAUAGGAAGAAUGGAUAAGGGAAAAGGUCCUAUGGAUAAUGUUGGGGAAAAUAAUGAAGACCCUCAAUAUCCUCCUGGCUUCACUCCUACACAUGUACAGACACAACCUGAGAUUAAUUUGCAGAAACCAUCUGUUACGAUCAGGCCUCAGCAGUUUCAGGCUGGAGUAUCAAUACCAAUGAAUUUUCAAACUGGUUCAAGUUUUAAUCCUAGUAACAACUCGAAUAAUCCAAUGGUCCCUGAUUUGGAUGAGGUUGCGAAAGAGGAAAGAACAAGGGCAGAGUCACAAAAACAGCUAGAAGAACGGUGUAAAUGGCUGAAGGAAAAGGUCAGGGUAAUGGAAGGCAUGGAUAGAUAUCCUGGAAUUGAUGCAAAGGAUCUGAGUUUGGUCCCAGAUUUAGUACUUCCAUAUAAUUUCAAGAUGCCAGAAUUUGAGAAGUACAAUGGAACGAGCUGUCCAGAAGCUCAUAUUACCAUGUUUUGCAGAAGAAUGACUGAGUAUGUUAAUAACGAUUAAUUGUUGAUUCAUUGCUUCCAAGACAGUUUGGUGGGAGUAGCUGCUAAAUGGUACAAUCAGUUAAGUCGAAGCAGAAUUAGUUCAUGGAGAGAUCUAACACAGGAGUUCAUGAAGCAGUACAGUCAUAUAACAAAUAUAACUCCUGAUAGAAUUACUUUACAGAAUAUAGAGAAGAAACCAAACGAAAGUUUUAAGCAGUAUGCACAAAGAUGGAGGAAAUGACCAUUCAAAUUCAGCCGUCGCUCUUGGAGAAGGAAACUACAAUGUUCUUUAUUAAUACCUUAAAAGCUCCGUUCAUAACUCACAUGUUAGGAAGUUCCACAAGGAGCUUUGCGGAUGUGGUCUUGAUAGGAGAAAUGAUUGAGAAUGCCAUAAGAAAUGGAAGGAUAGAUGCAGGAGAAUGUGCUAAAAGGUCUGUGCCAUGGAAAAAGGAGAAUGAGGUGAACAAUGCAAACAUGGGGUAUUCAAAGUCUGUUACUGUAAGUCAACCAAAAGGGGUAACUGCUGGUCAGGGUUCAUCAAGGCAGGAAUCUGGAGCAAGGAAAAAUAUUGAGAAGCUUCAAUUUACACCAAUCCCCAUGACGUAUAAUGAGUUAUAUCAAAGUUUGUUCGAUGUACAUGUAGUGGCACCUUUUUGUCUAAACCCGUUACAGCCUCCGUUCCCUAAAUGGUAUGGUACCAAUGCUCAAUUUGAGUAUCAUGCAGGGAUCGUAGGGCAUUCAAUAGAAAAUUGUACUACCUUUAAGAAGUUGGUUGAGAGAUUUAUUCAAAUAGGCAUUGUGAAGUUUGAUAAUACCCCUAGUGCAGAGAAUCCGUUACCUAAUCAUACUGAUGGUGGGGUAAACGUGAUAGAUGGAAGUAUGGGAAAAAGAGUCAAGAUGGAUUUAUGGAAGUAAAAACUCCUUUGAAAUGGGUCUGGAAAGAUAUGGUAAAAAAUGGGUUAGUUAUGAUGAAUUCAGAAAUAAGUGGUGAUAAAAUAAAGAAUUAUUGUGAGUUCCACUAUGAAGAGGGACAUAAAAUUUAGGAAUACGAAGAGUUCAGAGCUGUUAUCCAAGGCCUGAUGGACAACAAGGAAAUAUAGUUUUAUGAAGUGGUUAAGGAGGAGGAAUAUAUAUGCGCCUCUGAAUCUACGUUAAGCCCAAAAGUCAAUUAUCCUGUGGUUAUUAUUACAUGUCCUAAGAAUGAAGCAAGAAUUCAGAUGACACCAAAGAUUAUAAUUCAGAAGCCAACAGUUUUCUCUUACAAGGAUAACAAAAGGGUCCUUUGGAACUAUGAUUACAAUGUAACAGUAUCGGGAAAGGAAAGUUCAGUCAGCCCGUUAAAAGAAGAUCAAAAUAUAGGUUCUCACACGCACAGUGGAAGACGAUAUGAUUUGACAAAUACCCGAACAGAACUUGUAAAAGGAAGAGAUGUGAUGGUCGAACAAAAGAAGGGAAAAGCGGUGUAACCUGGAGUGCCCGUUAAUGAACCGGUGAAAGAAGAAGAAGCUAAAGAAUUCCUGAAAUUUUUGAAGCAUAGUGAGUACAGUGUGGUAGAACAGUUGCAUAAACAACCAGCCCGCAUAUCUAUAUUAGCUUUGCUCUUGAGUUCAGAGGUACAUCGGAGCGCGUUAAUGAAGGUGCCAAACGAGACAUAUGUAACCAAUGAUAUUUCCGUCAACAAGUUGGAUCGAUUGGUGAAUAAUAUAAGUGCUGAUAGUUUCAUUUUCUUCAAUGAUGAUGAGAUACCACCAGGAGGAAUGGGAUCUACCAAAGCUUUGCAUAUAACUACCAGAUGUAAAGGAUACACGUUACCAGGGGUCUUUGUAAAUAAUGGGUCAGCACUGAAUGUAUUGCCCUUGUCCAUACUAAAUAGGUUACCUGUGGAUAGCUCACACAUGAAAGGAUGUCAGAACAUAGUGCGAGCAUUUGAUGGCACAGAGAUGAGAGUUAUGGGGAGAAUAGAAAUACCUUUGUUGAUUGGCCCAACCACAUAUGAGGUAGAUUUCUUAGUGAUGGAUAUUAAGCCUUCUUACAAUUGCUUGUUAAAAAGGCCUUGGAUACAUUCAGUAGGGGCAGUUCCUUCAUCAUUACAUCAAAAUUUAAAGCUAGUAUCAAAAGGACGGUUGGUAACAAUAAAUGCUGAAGAGGACAUUAUUGCAGUUGUAAGCAGUGACGCACUAUAUUUAGAGACAGAUAAUGAAGCUAUUGAAUGUUUUUUUCGAUCUUUGGAGUUUGUGAAUGCAAUAUUCAUCACUGAGGGAAGUAGAAUUCUGGAGUAAAAAAUGUCAAAAACUACGAUGAUGGGUUUACAGUUGAUGGUAGGACAUGGAGCUUUACCAGGAAAGGGAUUGAGGAGAUGUCUCUAGGGAAGAAUUGAGGUUCCAAUGCUAAAAGACAAGUAUGAUCGCUUUGGUUUGGGGUUCAAGCCAGAUACAAGACAAAGGAAAAGGAAAUUGGAAAGAAGGCAAGAAAGAAGAAGAGCACGUGUGAGUGGUGGAGAAAUUAAGUGGGAGCCCAUGAUAAUUCCUCACAUCUCCAGGUCUUUUGUAUCGGGAGGCAUUAUUUAUUCUGAACAAGGGAUGCCAGAGAAAGAAAGCAUGGAAAAAGCAUUGGGAAAUAUGUAUAUCAAUGCCAUUUUUGAAGAGACAAUUGAAGAGAGGAUUUCGUCAGAUAUUUGUCCAUAUGAGCCUGGGAGUGUUCUAGAUAAUUGGACUGCAGAAGACCUUCCUAUAGUUUUUAGAGCUUAUUCAGAGUAAUGUUCGAAACAAACUUGUUAUUUUUAGCCUAGAGGCAACAAGGAUUUCUUUGUGAAAUAGGCUCAUGUUCAAACAUCAUUAUUUUAAUGAAGUACAUUAUUGGCUAUCAUUUUGAGCAAACAUUCUUUUAUUCUUUUCAUAAGAAAUUGUGUUAUUUUUUUUCAUUUUAAAUAAUUAUCCUGAUUCUUUCUUCAAUCAUUCUUUCAUUUCAUUCAUAAACAUACCAUACAAAAUAAUAAUUAUCAAAUUCAUUCAUUCCUUGUAUAUUUUUGUACCUAUAAUAGGUCCCUGGAUAUUAAUAUCAUGAGUGACGCUGUUACUGACUUAGAAUCACUAUUUGAACAAGACGUGUUUAGAGGGAGCUCAGGACUUUGAAGAUGACAGAGACUAUGAUUUAUCUCCAGAUUUGUUAAGGAUGGUAGAACAAGAGGAAAAAAAAUUUUCACCUCAUAAAGAAGUAGUGGACAUGGUGACUUUAGAAGAGGGGAAGGUUGUAAAAAUUAGAACAUGCAUAACUGAAGAAACAAAGCGAAACCUGGCUGGGUUGCUUCAGGAAUUCAAAGAUGUUUUUGUAUAGUCAUACCAGGAUAUGCCCGGUUUAAGCACUGAUAUUGUAGUACAUUGCCUUCCCAUAAAAGAAGAUUGCAAGCUAGUACAGUAGAAACUUCGAAGAAUGAGACCAGAUAUUGUCUUAAAGAUAAAGGAGGAAGUCAAAAAGCAAUUUGAUGCUGAAUUUCUUCAGGUGAUCAAAUAAUCAGAAUGGAUAGCCAACGUUGUGCAUGUUCCUAAGAAGGACGAAAAGGUGAGAAUGUGUGUGGAUUAUAGAGAUCUAAAUAAGGCUAGCCCAAAGGAUAAUUUCCCAUUGCCUCACAUUGAUACGCUAGUGGACAAUAUGGCUGGCUACUCGUUAUUUUCCUUCAUGGAUGGUUUCUCGAGGUAUAAUCAGAUUAAGAUGUAUCCUGAGGACAUGGGAAAGACUACUUUCAUAACCUUAUGGGGCACGUUCUGUUACAAGGUGAUGCCGUUCGGAUUAAAGAAUGCUGGAGCAACAUAUCAAAGGGCCAUGGUAACCUUAUUUCAUAAUAUGAUGCACAAGAAGAUUGAAGUUUAUGUUGACGAUAUGAUAGCCAAAUCUCGAACUGAAAAGGAACACAUCCAAGUGUUGAGAAAGUUGUUAUUGAGAAAAUUUCAGUUAAAUCUUAAUCCAACCAAGUGUACUUUUGGGGAUAGAUCUGAAAAGCUAUUGGGCUUUGUAGUUAGUGAGAGAGGAAUUGAGAUUGAUUCAAACAAAGUUCGGGCUAUACAAGAGUUGUCUCUACUGUGCACUCAAAAAGAGGUUUGAGGCUUCCUGGGAAGACUAAAUUACAUUACUCAGUUUAUUUCUCAAUUAGCAGAGAAAUACGACCCCAUAUUUCAUUUUCUUAAAAAGCAUAACCCAGGAGAAUAGGAUGAUGAAUGCCAGAGAGCUUUUGAUAAAGUUAAAAGAUAUUUGUCGAGUCCUCCAGUGUUAUCACCUCCAAGUUCAGACAGGCCGUUGAUACUGUAUUUAACCGUGUUUGGCAAUUCUAUUGGAUGUGUGCUUGGUCAACACGAUGAAUCAGGAAGAAAAAAAAAGGGCAAUAUAUUACCUCAGUAAGAAAUUCACUGAGUGUGAAUUAAGAUAUUUACCAAUUGAAAAAUUGUGUUGUGCUCUAAUUUGGACAGCACGAAGGUUGAGGCAAUAUAUGUUGUACCAUACAACUUGGUUAAUCUCAAAGUUAGAUCCUCUAAAGUAUAUGAUGGAGUCAAAUGCCUUGAAUGGAAGGAUGGCUAGGUGACAAAUUUUGCUUUCUGAAUUUGACAAAAUCUACGUGAGCCAAAAAGCCAUGAAAGGGAGCGCAAUAGCAGAUUUUCUGGCCAGUUGAGCUUUAGAAGAUUAUGAGCCAUUAAAUUUUGAUUUCCCCAAUGAGGAGAUAGUGUAUGUGGCAGCUGUCGAAGAGGACACUACAAAAGGUCACCCUUGGAAAUUAAAUUUUGACGGAGCCUCAAACGCAGUGGGUAAUGAGGUUGGAGCAGUUCUGGUAUCUCCAGGUGGAGAUCAUUAUUCAUUCACAUGUAAAUUGGAUUUUGAUUGUAUGAAUAAUAUGACAGAAUAUGAAGCAUGUAUCACGGGGCUCCGAGCAGCCAUAGAGCACAAGAUCAAGUCACUAGAAGUAUAUGGAGAUUCUGCACUGGUAAUUUACCAACUUCGAGGCGAAUGGGAGACAAGGGAUUCCAAAUUAAUCAAUUAUAGAAGGUUGGUGUUAGGGUUAGUUGAAGAGUUUGAUGAUAUUACUUUCAAUUAUCUCCCGCAUGAUGAAAACCAAAUGGCAGAUGCUUUGGCUACUUUGGCUUUCGUGAUCAAAGUAAGCAGACAAGAAGAUAUGAAACCCAUUCAGAUGAGUAUUUGUGAAGCCCCGUCUUAUUGUUAUAAUAUAAAGAAAGAAGAGAGAGAUCAUCAUCCUUGGUAUCAGGAUAUAUUACGAUACGUAAGAAAUCGUGAAUAUCUAGAUCAAGCAACGGAGAAUGACAAAAGGAUGUUGAGAAGGCUAGCUUGUGAUUAUGUCUUAGAUGGGGAGAUCUUGUACAAAAGAAGAAAUGAUCAAGUACUUUUGAGAUGUGUAGAUGCUGUGGAGACCAAGAAAAUCUUGGAGGAAGUUCACGAAGGCGUUUGUGGAAUACACGCUAACGGGUUCACAAUGGCUAGACAAAUUAUGAGGUUUGGAUAUUAUUGGACAACUAUGGAGGGAGACUGUAUCAAUUAUGCUAAGAGAUGUCACAAAUGUCAAAUUUAUGGAGACAAGAUUCAUGUACUUCCCUCGCCUUUGUAUGUUAUAACUUCCCUAUGGCCAUUUUCCAUGUGGGGCAUGGAUGUCAUAGGUCCAAUCUCACGGCAUCGUUUUAUCUUUGUGGUCAUUGAUUAUUUUACCAAGUUAGUGAAAGCUGCUUCAUAUGCCAAUGUAACUAAAUCGGUAGUCAGCAGAUUUUUGAAGAGGAAAUUAUAUGUCGAUAUGGGAUGCCUGAGAAGAUCAUAUCUGAUAAUGCAUUAAACUUGAACAACAGCGCAAUAGCAGAGGUUUGCAGUCAGUUUAAGAUCAGACACCAUAAUUCAUCACCAUAUCGCCCAAAAAUGAAUGGGACAGUGGAAGCAGCCAAUAAAAAUAUCAAGAAGAUUGUGGGAAAAAUGACCGAAACUUGUAGAGAUUGGCAUGAGAAGUUGUCAUUUGCUCUUUAUGCUUAUCGAACGUCUGUCAGAACUUCUACUGGGGCAACGCCCUUCUCGUUAGUUUAUAGAAUGGAAGUUGUUCUACCUAUUGAGGUGGAGAUACCUUCUCUGCAAGUUUUGUCAGAAUUAAAAUUAGAUGAAGCAGAAUGGAUAUAGUCUCGAUAUGAUCAGUUGAAUUUGAUUGAGGAAAAGGGGCUAAAAACUAUCCAGCAUGGCCAGAUAAAUCAAAAAAGAAUGAUGUGGGCUUACGACAAGAAGGUUCGCCCAAGAGAAUUUCAUGAGGGAGAUUUGGUUCUGAAAAAGAUUCUUCCUAUACAAAAGGAUUUCAGAGGAAAAUGGAUGCCAAAUUGGAAGAGGCCUUAUGUGGUAAAGAAAGCUUUCUCCGGAGGAGCAUUAAUCCUGGUUGAAAUGGAUGGAAAAAAACUUGUCUAAUCCAGUAAACUCGGAUUCAGUCAAAAAGUAUUACACUUAAUGAGGGGAAGAAGCCAAAGUGAAAACCUGCAAAGGGCGCUUUGAGAUUUUCUUAAAAAAAAGCCAAAGUGAAAACUCGUAAAGGGUGCUUUGAGACCCAAUAAAAAUAGAAAAGAUAAAGGGCCAAAGUGAAAACCCACAAAGGGCACUUUGAGACUCAAUAUAAAAAAAAAGAAAAAGAAAAAGAAAAAAGAAAGAGAAAGGAAAGGCCAAGGUGAAAGCCCGCAAAGGGCGCUUUGAGACCAAAGGGGAUUUGAGUUGAAAACCCGAAAAGGGAGGCUCAAAUGUUGAUCUAAAAUGGGGAAGGCGAUGAUCUUGCUAUACUUGAAUUAACAGGGAAAGGGUAUGUUACAUCUUGGGGCAUUCACAAAGUACUUCUGAUCUCCUAAACACAUGUCAAGUUUGAAUUGGUCUUCAAGAAGUUCGUACAGAGAAGCUCAGGUUGCGAUAUCAGGGGUACCUAGGCUUCAUUUUAUUUCCAAUAAAUUGGCUAUCUUUGAAUUAACCUUUUUUUUCAAGAUAUACAGUCUUAAAUCAAUGGCCAUUGUUGUUCUUUUAAUGAUUUAUUCACUUUGAGCUCAAGUGCAAUUCCAUUCUUAUCUAUUAUUACGAUUUGAUUGCAAGCAUGUUGCAUUGACAUAAUGAUGAAUGAACUAGUAAUGUUCUCACAAUAGAAGUUUUGCAUAUUACUCUAGGAGUUUCUAGAUAAUGCAAGAAUCUGAAGUGGAACUAUUGUUUGGAAUGCACCAAAGUUCAAGGACAUACUUGAAUAAAUUGCCUUUUUAGAUUUUUAAGCAAAAGAUCAAGAUAUGGCGUUGGUGAUACAAUUUUGAAAAAUGAUCAAUACAAAAAGAAAUUAUUCUCGAGAAAGGGGAAAUUAUAUUUUGUAUCCUUGCAAAUAUCAAACGUGCACAACUGGCUAUGACACCUGAGGAGUGAGGUAGCAGAUCGAACAGAUGAAAGUUCAAAUAUGGGUUUCAAUUUUUUUGUCUCAGAACGAAUAGUAGAAGGGACGUUGGAAUUACAGUAGGGCAAGCUUGCUGAGCAGAAUAUGAUUGUUGUUUUGUUGAGAUGAUAGUUGAGAGAAUACGUCAACGAUAACAUACUGAUGAACAAUGAGUGAUGAUGCCUUAAAUUUUAAAAUGGAAUCAUUCUCAUUUCUACAUAUAUCAUACCACAUUUAGUUAGGAGCAUUGGAUUCAUUUCUAUCAUAUCAUCCUAAUUAUUUGGUAUAAACAUGCGCAUAUAAAAUGGAGUCUACAGGACAUGUUCCCCAUAGGACAGUGUAGCAACAUUGGUGAAGUCAGAUCUUAUCUCUCUGAAGUUGCAGCAGAGUAAAUCAAAGAUGGUGAAUCUUAUCUCCAUGUAUCGACAAUGGAACAGAUUUAAGCCGCCAGCCCUAUCUCUCUGAGGUAGCAAGAGAGCAGGUUGAAGAAUGAGUCUUAUCUUUCUAAGGUAGCAAGAAAGCAGACUGAAGAUUAAAGAUCUUAUCUCUCUAAAAUUGUAGCGGAGCAGAUCGAAGAUUAGAUUUGAGCCACUAGCCUUAUCUCUUUGAGGUAGCAAGAGAUCAGGUUAAAGAACGAGUCUUAUCUUCCUGAGGUAGUAAGGAAGUAGACUGAAGAUUGAAGAUUUUAUCUCCCUAAGCAGUAGUGGAGCAGAUCGAAAGAUUAAGAAUUUUAUCUCCAUGUAUCGGCAAUGGAACAGAUUGUAGUCACUAGCCUUACCUCCCUGAAGGUGCAGUGGAGCAAGUUUAAUAUACGAGUCUUAUCUUCCUGAGGUAGUAAGGAAGUAGACUAAAGAUUGAAGAUCUUAUCUCCCUAAGCAGUAGUGGAGUAAAUCAAAGUUGGUGAAUCUUAUCUCCAUGUAUCGGUAAUGGAGCAGAUUCUUGCCACUAGCCUUAUCUCUCUGAGGUAGCAAGAGAGUAGGUUGAAGAUAUUGGUAUUAUCUUCUUGAGGUAGCAAGGAAGCAGACUGAAGAUUGAGGAUCCUAUUUCCCUUAAGCAGCUAUGGAGCACGUCAAAGACAACAAAUUUUAUCUCCAUGUAUCGGCAAUGGAGCAGAUUUAAGUCACCAGCCUUGUUUCUCUGAAGUUGCAAUGGAAAAGGUUGAGAUUACCAAAAAGUUCCAGCGAUGAAUUGGAACAAGGCAAUGUGAAGAAAAGAAGGGACAAAAGGUCAAAGAUGCAGUAAGACCUGGGCAAAAUUGGUCCUUUUAAGGUCUUUGCUUCAUCCUUGUUACACGACAAUGAGCAAAGAGGGGCAGCUGUAGUAGGCCCAAUUCGCCCUGCCCGCAAUAAAACCAGAGAAAUAAAUUAAAAAUAAAAAAAUUAAAAUAAGCCAGUGUCUAUUUACAAAACCCAAAACUAAUAAAACAAAAAAAUAAAGAAAAAACCUAAUACAAUAAAAGUUCAUUAGACUAAAAUAGCCCACCCAAUUGAAUAAACCUUAGACCCAAUUCUAAAAGCCCAAACCUGAGGCCCAACAGGAGACAAAGAGAAGCUUAGCAGCCGAGAACACCAGAAGCUUCUGGAAUAUGCUAGAACAGCUCUAGAAGGUCGUGCUCCCACGAGCAGUUUCCCCGCAUGGCCUCCUUCAAGCGCGCCUCUCCCCGCUCCUCCGUACGGCCGUUCCUGCAAAAGAACACACGAGAAGAAAUAGAAUAAAAGAAUACACAAAUGACAGCAGGAAAAUAUUUUUAUUUUUCGCUAUUUACUCUGUAAAUUUGGGCUAUAAAAAGGCCUCGCUUGUACUAUGUAAUCUUACGCACGCAUACUACACACACUGAAAUACAUACGAAAUAUCAGAAAAGAGCAGUCAUAAAGUUAUCCAAAGGUGAUCCAAAAAUCUCUUUAUUUCUUUUUGUUUCUUUCAAUUUGCUCGCAAUAUUACCAUGAAAAAAUGAAAAUACUUGAAUCGGCACCGAUGAACGCCCAUAUAUCUCGAAAAUAUAGAGAUUCGGGGCGAGGGUCGAAUGUUUUUUUUUUCUUUUGAAUUUCUGCUUUGUUUUUAGAGAGAAUAAUACAUUAUUUGAGUUUUUUUUCAAAGAAGAAAGGAAGAAGGAUUAACUUACCAGAUUUCCAUGGGUGACCUUUGUUGGCAAGAUCGAAUCUCUGCUCACACACCGUCGACCAUCAAAUUAAAUGGUGGGUUCGGCGGCUGCUAAAUGAAGCCCUAGCAGAUUGAUUUUAGGUUAUAGAUGUUUGUUAAAAGGUGGGCUGCAAUUGGAAAAGAAAAUAGGAGAAAAGGAGCAAAAAUGAUGGUUUAAGGGCUGAGUUAAAAACGGCGCCGUUCCAAAAGGGUAAGAUCCGCGCGCUGACCCGCUUAGCAGGCCGGAUCCGCGUACCUUUACUUAAAUUGGGGAAUUUGUGUGCAUGGCCCUUCUCAUUCGCACUGAUUUUGAAUUAGGCCCUAUUCAUACUUUAUUUGUUUUUAAAUUGCACCUGGAAUUAGGAUAUCGCAUCAAUUCAACCCGCGCUUAAGCGCUGCGUUUUGGGACUAGAAUUAUUUCCAGCUUUAGUCCCUUGGCAUUUGUGCGCAUUGUGUGUUAGUCCUCAGUUCAAUUUCAAAAAUUUAUACAUUAUCCCCAUUCAUUUUAAAUUUAUUUUAAUUAGGUUUUCUAUUUGUAUAACUCAUUAUUUUUUAGGAAAUUCAUUUAAUUUUUUUAUGUAUUGAAAAUACUUUAAUAAUUUUACUCUGUUUAAAAGUUUGUAUUAUAUUAUUUUAACAUUAUGUAUAAAAUUUUAUUUAAACAUUUAUAUAUGUAUAUACCUAUGCAUACCUAGUGUUUUAAUUAAGCUUUCUAUUUGAAACACUUAUUAUUUUAAAAUUCAUUUAAUAUUUUUAUAUGUGUUAAUCUAUUUUAUUAAUUUUUUUUGUUUUUUAUUUGUAUAAUUAUUUUAAGAUUGGUUUUAUCAUAUUAUUUUAACAUUUUAUAUAAUGUCUCAUUUAAAUAUUUUUGCGAAUAUUUGUACAUAUAUUAUUUUAAUGGAGUUUUCUAUUUAAAAUACCUAUUUUUUUAAAAUUCAUUUAAUAUUUUUAUGUAUAUGUAAAGUUAUUUUAGGGACUUCAUUUUUGUGUUUAUAAGAUUAUUAUUUUGAAAUUCUUCUCUAUAUCAUAUUAUUUUAAUAUAUUAUAUAGUAUCUCAUUUAAAUACUUUUAUAUAUAUUUGUACAUAUAUAGCAAAAUUAAUUUAAUCUUGUAUGCAUUAUUUAUUCCAUGUUAUUUUUACAAAUAAUUAUUUCUAAAUUUAUUUAGAUAUAUAUAUGAUUUGUAAAUCUAUUAUGCGUAUAGUUUAAUGCCCAAGGUUAUAUCUUAUUAUGUAUUCUUGCUAUCCUUUUAUAUUUAUAUAUUAUUAAAUUUUCCUUUAUUGUAUCUAUUUUAACAAAUGUUUUUAACUUUGUAUAUUAUUUGAUUUAAAAAUCUUCAUGCUAUAAAACAUAUUUUAAUGAUUACAUAUAUAUCUUUAGUUUGUUUUUUACAAAUAGUUUUAAAUUCAUCAACUCAUCAAUUCAUAUAUUAUAUAUUAUGUGUUUAUCAUCAUUUUAAAUUUAUCUUAUACCAUAGUGGUUUUUUUAAUUUUCAUUUUGUUUUGUAUAUUUUGAAUGGAUUGUAUUAGGCUAUAUAUCAUUGUUGUACUAUUUCUUUCAUUUUUAUUAUUAUAUUAAUUGUCCUUCAUCCAUCACUACAGGAAAAUAGGGCUUUAGCGGUGUUUUUAGCGGAGUUUGGACAAAAAACGCCGCAAAUAUUAUACAUUAGCAGCGUUUACGAUAAAACGCCGCAAAAAACUGAGCAAUAGCGGCGUUUUUGGUUCAAACGCCGCUAAAAGUUGAGCAAUAGCGGUGUUUUUGGCCCAAACGCCGCUAAAAAUUGAACAAUAGCGGCGCCUUUGGAAAAACGCCACUAUAGAUCGAGGUUUUAGCGGUGCUUUUUGGAAAAACGCCGCUAUUGCUCAGUUUUUAGCGGCGCUUUUGGAAAAACGCCGCAAAAAACAUUUCAUCUGUCUAUUUAUAAUUUAACUGGUUUAUUUAUAUUAAAAUACAAUUUAUUUUUAAUUGAAUAUUUAAAUUCUUCAGAAAAAUAAUGACAAGUAAAAAAAUUUUGAAAGUAAAAAUAUAGAAAAAUAUUUGUUAAAAAUAUUUUAAUUGAAUACUAUUUUAAAGUUUAUGUAUUAUGGGUUUAGGGGUUAUGGUUUAAGGGUUGAGGUUUAGGGGUUAAGGGUUUAUAUUUUAGGAUUUAAGGUUUAUGGUUUAGGGAUUAGGGAUUAGGAGUUUAGAGUUUAGAUUAAUUAAUUAAUUAAUUAUGAUUAUGGUCACAUAAAAUUACAAUAAUUAUUAAAAAUUAUGGUUAUACAAUAUAUUAAAUAUUUUCUUAUAUAAUCGUAAAAGAGAUAAUAUUGAAUUUAAAAUAUUGAAUUAAUUAUCAUUGUAGGAGUUAAUUAGUAUUUGAAGGUUUAUGAUGAAUUAUGGGUUUAGGGAUUAUGGUUUAGGGUUUAGGGUUUAUGGUUUAGGGUUUAGGGUUAGAGUUUAAGGUGUAAGGGUUAGGGGCUAAGGGUUUAGAGUUUAGUGUUUACAAGAUAGGGGUUAAAGGUUUAGGGUUUAGAUUAAUUAGUAUUUUUUAAUUUAUAUAUUAAACGUUUUCUUAUAUAAUUGUAAAAGUGAUAAUAUUAAUUUGAAUAUAUUAAAAUUAUGAUUAUAGUUUAAAUUAUUUAAGAGAUAAUAGAUAAAAUUUAUAUAUAUUAAAUGGUUUAAGAUUUAAUCUAAAAAUAUUUUGAUAUAUUAAAAAUAAUUCAAUUCAAAUUAAUUCCUCUACACUUAAUAUUUUCAAUUUUAUCUUUUGUACUUUUCAAAAUUUAAAAUUUUAGUCAUGAUCACUCAAAUGAUAGCAAUUAUAUAUGUUUGGUUAAAUUCUGCUAUUAGUCUUGGUAUUGUGUUUAAAAUUGUAGGUUGAGUUCAUGUUAUCCAAUUAGAUCAUUCUUGGUCCUUAUACUUUUCGAAUUUUGAAAUUUUAAUUUUGUCACAAAUGACAACCGUUGAAUCCGUAACUGGCUUUUUGUGAGUGAUAUGUUUGUUACAUUAGAUUUUAGAAAUAGCAAAACUUAAUGAAUUUAAUAGCUACCAUUUAAUUAAUACUAUAAUUUCAAAAUUCGAAAAUUACAAUGACUAAAAAUAACAAAAUUAAAGUAAAAUGACUAAAUCCACAAUUUACAUAUAAUUCAAUGACUAAUAGAAAAAUAAUAAUAAUUAAAAAUAUUUAACUUGUUUAUAUUUAAAAAAUUAAUAAAAAUCAAAUGAAAAUAAAAUGUAUAUAUUUAUAAAAAAAAUUAAAACAAUAUUAUUAGCUAGGUUUGAGUAAAUUUACUUUAAGUAUUUAUAAAUAUAAUUGUUUAAGUUAAACGGCGUCGUUUUCGUUUCUGAAAUGUUUUAUUUUCUCAUGCCCGACACUUAGCCAUUCGCCCCCAACCCAAAACAGAUUUCCCCAAUUCUCUAAUUUCUCCUAAUCCCUAAAUUUCCCCUAAAAGAAUCAGCAGACACGGUGAAAACUCAUUGUCGAGGUAACAUACAUCUGACGCUUUUCUCAUUUGCUUCAUCGGAGUGAAAAAUUCAGGUAAGUUGUUCUUUUAUUUGAGAACAAUUUGAUUUCUUCUUUGUUUAACCUAUGGGUUUUGGAGUAAUUUCAAAUCUAUCUUCCUAGAUUUGAGUUUCGCAACAAUCUUAGUUUUGUUGUCUAAGUUAAGCAAAAAUCUAUGCUGACUCCAACUCAUUUCCAACCUAUCUUUACCAACAACAUCCCAUUUAUUCCAUACUUCACAACGUUUGGGUUAAUUAUAUCCACUAAGCUGAAGCUUUCUGUUAUAAUAACAAUCAUAUGCUUCUAUCGGAGGGGAGGGAAUCAUGUCUUUCGAUCUCAUAUGCUGAAGCUGUCCUGCAGCUGCUUCGAAUCCUCCCAAGAUCUGUACGGCCGAGGACCAAAAGAAGAAAGAUGAUGAGGAUCUGAUGAGUGGCUGUUCGGGAUUUAACUUCUUAGCACAAAAAUUGAAAGACAUAUAUAUGAUAAUUGUUUAAAGUAUGAAAUUUGGUGGUUUCGUUUCUGUUGUUAAUUAUUUGUUUUUGUCUUCUGAGUUUUUUUUGAUGAAGAUUUCUUGUACUAUUUUUUUACCAUAUAAUAAUUUAAACGUAUAAACCAAAAAUAUUACAGAGUAAUUUUCUGCAUUCUUUUAUUCUAGGUGGUCUUUUGUUGGGUUUUUUUUUUCGAAAGUUUUGUUUUUGAUUAUUUGUUAAUGCCUGGGCAUACUACCCUCCACCAUCCCAUUUCUUUCUCCCACAUUUUGCAGCAGUUGCAGUCUUCCCUCAUUAACUAAAAAUUUCUAAAGGGUAGCAGCUCCAAGUAAUUCAAUUUCAAAAGCAUUUUCAAGUACCUAAUUUGAUCAUAUUGUAUGGAUGCCUUUGAAAAUCAAGUGUUUUGUCUCUAUGGUAAUAGCAUAGGUGCAAUGAGGGUUAAAAAUGCAUGUAUCGCCUUUCGGAGUUUCAGCGACGCUAAAAACCGCGAAGGGUGAGUCUUGCUUUACCUGUAUGCAAUGCCUUUUUAUGCACCUAGUUGCUUGAUGAUGAAUGGAACAGGUGUUUGAGAUGUCUGCAACAGCUCUCUCAUGAAUACUCCCUACUAAAGAACAAGCUUCAAACCUUAUUCCAGGUAAGUGUUGCUUCUUUACUUGUAUGUAUGCCUAUUAAUAGUUUCCCGGGAAAAUGAGCAUGCGGAACCGUUCUCUGAUGUUUUGGUGUUUCAGCUGGAGCAACAAAUAGUUGCAGCUGGUGGAUCGAUUCCAAGAGUGCAUUAAAUCACAUUUCGUAUCGUCUUCUUGAUAGAAUAAAAGCGAGAACCGUUGUUUAGAGUUGUGAAUAAAACAUUUCCAGCAUUUUCCUGCAUAAGUUGUUCAAUGUUUGAGAAUUUCAUCAAACUUUUUCGUGUUAAAUUCGAUUUGAAAUCGAGUCAGUUUGCAUUGAUGAUAAAAUUGAUUAAACCUCUGGUUAAAACAUCAGAGUUGUUCACACACUAACAUUUGACUUAUCUAUCGAUAGACUGAUGCAUCAAAAACUAAACAACAUCAGAGUUGUUUUCACACUAGCAUUUGACUUAUCUAUCUAUAGAUUGAUACAUCAAAGACUAUUACUUUUGCUUUAAGCGAAGGUUUCCUACGAUUUUUGUCUCUGGAAAAAAAAAAAAGAAAAGCUGAGAGGGACAUCAUCAAACAUGUUUUUUGAAAAUCAAAGACAAAAAUAAAUGUUGUGUGGGUCUGAAUUUGUUAUUGGAACAUUUAUUACAUUCAGUUGGAAGGUCAAGGUCAAGAGAUACUGGUUUUUAUUCUCAUACUUAACCAAAUCAAACUGUAUUAUAAUUUUUUGUCAUGUCAUCAGUGCAAUCUUUUAAGCUUUAAACAAUUGGGAUUAAUUUAAUAUUUAAACAUAGAAGAAGGUCAUAAUCAUAAUUUGACCAAAAACAAUUUUUGUUUAAUAUAAUAAUUUGACCCAAAAUGGGAUAGCAAAGUAGUGAAAAGUGAAUAGCCGGGCCUGGGUUGAGAAAAACGACACUGGGAGUUAAUGAGGGAAGACUGCAACUGCUGCAAACAGUGGCUAAGGCAUAGUAACAAAUAAUCAUUUGAUUAUCAUUUUCGUAAAAAAAAAUAUAAAACAUCAAAAAUUUCUUUUUAACUAAAAAUUGCAGGACCUCUCUUCGUUUCUUAUUUUUGAGAUGUUUGCAUGCUUGUGUCUUGAGGAGUAUGUUACUUAUUUUGUACUUUUGCUAGUAGAACUAAAGCAAUAUAUUCUCAUUUGUUUGUAGUUUUCUCUUUCCAAUCUUGCUUACCAUCUUGAGUGUGUUUGCAGAUUGUCAAACUUUCUUAGUGACUAUGCACAUUAAUGUUCACAGCAUUUAUUAGAGUGUGAGUUCCUCCCAUGCCUUUGCUUUUCUUCUUUUAACCUACUUCAUAAUUGCAAAUUCUCCAGUUUUGCUCCAAUAUUGCACUCAUCUAACUAUAUGUGUGUAUAUAUAUGCAUGUAGCUAUGUAUUUAUGCUUAUGAUAUCUGUUAAUAUAGCUAUUAGUGGGAUUUUUAGAAAAAAAAUCUAUUUUUGAAAGAUAAUACUAUUUACACAUCAUGUUCAAAUUAUGUAAAACAAGUAUGAUUUAGAUAUUAUAUAAAUCUUAAAAUAUAUAUUUAUAUCCAAUACUCCUACUUAAAUUAUGUUAACUUAGAUAAUAAUUGCAGCUAGUGGGCAAAAAGUUUGACAUUCUAUUUGAAAAAUGAUAUUUUAAAACUAUAUACAAUUGUUAUCAUAAAAAAGUUGUUGGGUAUCAUAUUUGAAUUGAAACCAUUUUUAUAGGUUGAGAUAAAAAAUAAAAAAAAAUAAAAACUGAUGGUAUAAUAUUCUAACUUGAAGCAUGAAGGAUAUACUAGAAAGGCACCAUUUGUGCUCAAAGAACCUUGAGAAGCUGGAACAACCUUGUCUUGGGAUGCAGGUUAGUGGCUUUUUAUUUCUUCUUCUAUAUAUGUCGACAUAUUUCUUUAUCUUUAGUUCUUACAUUAAUAUGUAAUCAGUCGGCUGGAAAAUUACUUGUAGAUGAAUGAAAAUUUGGAUUAUUUUAUAGAGCAGUAGAUGUGAAAGUCUCACUGGUGAGCCUCUUGUUUCACAUUAUUUUUGUUAUUUUUAUUCGUUGUAUUUGAUACAUAUGCAUAUCCAGCAGUAGAUGUGAAAGUCUCACUAGUGAGCCUCUUGUUUCACAUUACUUUUGUUAUUUUUAUUCGUUGUAUUUGAUACAUAUGCAUACACAUUUAGGUAUGAAGGUAUCAGUGUAUGGUUUUUUUCGAAUAUAUGAAAAUAUUUAAAAAGGAUUAAAUAUAUCCAUUAAAACUAAAUAUUUUAUAAGAUAAUACGGGCCUUUGAAUAUGAUUAUUGUAUCUUCACCAUUAAAUUCUAUCUACUUAAAAAUGAUAUUGACUUUUUCAUCCGUGGAUUUUGCCUUGAAACAGGCAAAUGAGAGGUGAGGAACUCCAUGGAUUAAAUAUUGAAGAACUACAGUAGCUAGAAAAAUCUCUAGAAAUUGGGUUGAGCCGUGUGAUGGAGAAAAAGGUUUUAUGGACAUGUGCAUGUUCUUGAUGUGUUUGUUUGUAGGCUUACAUGAUCUAUUUGCAUGCUUAUAUUCAUAUCUCUUCUACUGUGUCAUCAUACUCAUGUUUCAAAUGGCAUUUAGUCAACAUAAUCAAUUACCAGUAUCUUAGUUGUCGUAAAAUAAUCAGUUUAAUGUUGUCGUAAAUUAAAAACAAAAACUAUUUAGGUUUUGAUAACUUCAAUGAAUCAAUAUCUCUUGGUUUGGUUAAGUUUCAUUAUAUUCAUUUGAUUUUAAUUAUAAUUAUUUGUAAUUUUACCUUUUUUAUUAAAUAUUUUAUAAUAAAAAUAUUAUAUAACUUUUUUUUUAAUUUUUUUAAUAAACUGCUUACUACCCUCAAUUUCUAAAGUAAAAUGUCUGAAGUAUAUUUUAUAAUUUUUUAAUGAAGCAAUUUCAGGCUCUAAUUAACCUACUAGUGCAUCACUAAUGAAGGUAUCUCAACUUUGAUUAAUUACUUGUUUUAUAUGUUAUCAAGAUACUGAUGCAAUGAUCUUGGUUUUACCAACUUUAUAUUGGUGAAUGCAAAUCUAUCAUGGUUACACAAUUCUUUGCUAUUAUUUGCGCUACAAAGUACUAUUUAGUUAGUAAUCCGGUACUAGUGUUUUAAGCCUUUCUUUGUCUUUGUCACAUAAAAUGCUAGUGUGAGGAUGUCGGCACUUUGAACAGAUUUUUUGGUGAGCUUUUCGUUAUCUUUGUCACAUAAAAUGCUCAAUCCUUGGUGGUUUAAUCUUGCUGUUUCGGGUUGGAAGAACUGUAUGAAAGAAAUCAGUUAAAUUGCUGCUGUUAGUGAGGUCCGGAAGUGAGUAAAUUGAUGUUUGAAAUAUCUGUGUGGUGGAUUUAAUGCUGCUAUAUAUUGUUGCUCAUUACCGAAUUAAUGCUGAAACUAAGCUAAUUAAAUGGUGGACAAUUUGCUGUCGAUUAUGAUGGAAAUGACUAUUAAAUGUUUAAAAUUCCUCUUAUUUAAUUGAUGGUUGCUACUGUUUAAAUGCUGUAAAUUGAAGUGUUUAAAUGUUCUUUGUGUAGCAUUUUAAGAACUCCAAAGCUCACAGAUGAUUUGUUAUACUCUAUAUGAGUUCAUUGAUUCUAUGUUUUUGCAAUUUUAGGUAUGAUCAUGGGUGCAGCAGCUUCAACUGACAAGGACUUGCGCAGGUCUGGAGCAGGUCAAUCAAGAAGCUCUGCUGGAAUUAAACUGACAAGUAAUUGUAGUAUGCUUGUAGUUGAAAUUUCUUAUAGUGAACAUCAUGUUUAAUCGGCAGAAGUUUCAAAGAUUUUACUUUUUAGAAGAAAAUGUAUUGUAGUCAUUAGAUUGGGUUUUCAAAGAUUGAUUAUGUUAACAUUUUGAUCAAAUGAAAAGUUCUCUUGUUAAUGUUUUUGAACUCAAAAACAAUUUAAAAUGUGUCCAUUGUUAGGUUAUUUAAAUUUUGUAUGAUCAUUUAAGGUAAUAAUGUAAAUGAGAUGAUUUGAAAUAUAUAUGGUCUUUAGCGGCGUUUUUGGGGGAAGCGCCGCUAAAAGUCAGGAUCUGUAGCGGCGUUUUUUAGAAAAGCGCUGCUAAAAGUCACGAUACGCCGUAAAAUUUUGCGACGUUUACUAUAGCGACGUUUUUUACAGCGCUUGUGAAAACGCCGCUAAUAGUUCUAGCGGCGCUUAAAAGCGCGGCUAAAAGCCAAAAAAAUGCCACUAAAAGUCUGUUCUCUUGUAGUGCAUGCUUAGAAAGUUGGUUAUAUUCUUUUGGUUAGUUAUAUUUAAUUAUUUGUUUUGUUAGUUGAUUAAAUAAGGUUAUGUUGCCUUCAUUUACCAAUGAUUGUACUUUAUGCAUGUAUGUCAUCCCAUAUUUUCAUUUUUUCCCUUUGGUUUACAAAUGAUGGCAUUAUUAUUUUCAAUUUUUAAAAAAUCAGUUGGUCCAUUUUAUUUCAAGUAAAAUCGAUACAUUUUGAAAUAGUUUACAAUCAUUUAUUUAAAUUGUUUUUACAAAAAUAAGGCAAUGUUCAGUAUUUAGAAAUUCGAGAAAUCGUGCCCUACCGUGCUGGGUUUCAAUUUUUCGUUGGACUAAAUAUUUGGACAUCCUUUGGUAAUUUUUGACCUAAGAGUUUUUGGAAGUCAAAACUCAAUCGUGUUCUCAAAAGUAUAAAGGAUCAUGUUCUAUCGUGCUAGAUGUGAUGCUUUAUGCCUUUGAAACGAGAAAAUUUUGAUGAGCAGCUUACACCACUCAAAUGUUUUUAAUAAGCAUCAUAUUUCAAGAUUUCUUUUCUAAAAUUUUAAACAUAAGGACAACAUGUGAUCAAUCUGGUACCAAUUUUUAGGCGUACUGAGGGUGCUAACCCUUCCUCAUACGUAAUCGGCUCCCAAACCCAUUUUUUUUUAAAAAAAUUUACAUAGAUCAAAAAUGUUUUAAAUGAAACAAAAUGUUUUAUUAGGUGAUCUAAUCACACUUAAACAAAAAGAUUGGUGGCGACCCCACAUGUUGUUUAAAAGUCGAUUUCUGUUUUUUUUCAAAUAAAAAUAGUUUCGACAAAGCCAAGAAGGAUAAAGGGAAAAAAAUUAACAUACAUAAUUAUAUAUUAAAAAAACACUGAAAUCAACAAAUACUAAUACUGCGUCAAAUUAAGCAUAUUGAUUUAAUUCAUCCUACCCCUCCUUCGACUUUGUAUCUUUCUUCCAAAAUACUUGACAAACAACUUAUGUUUCAUCGGGUUAAAAAGGUAACCGAGAAUUAGUCUAUUCACUAGCCCACUUCCAUAUCCCAACAUGAUUGCUUUCCACCCAAAUUGAAGCCAUGAAUCUUCACCAUCAUCUUUCUUUGACAAUGACGACGGUUGUGGUGAUAAGCCUUCGGGAUAGCAUUUCUUUGACAAUGGAUUUCCACAUAAUCCUAGGUUGCCCUCAAAUGAGCUGUUUCCGAACGUACCAAAUUGUUUGCCUUGCGGUAUGGGUCCGAUCAGCUGAUUAUGAGAAACAUUGAAAAAUUCGAGGAAAGUGAGUUGCACCAGCUCUUGAGGGAUCUCCCCGGAGAGUUUGUUCUGAGAAAGAUCCAAAGUUUGGAGGUUUGAGAGGUUUCCCAAUGAUGGUGGAAUUGGACCUGACAGAAAAUUGUUGGAAAGGUUGAGGAAUUGAAGUGCUUGUAGAAUUUGAAUGUCUUUUGGAAUGCAGCCAUCAAAUUUAUUGCUUGACAGAUCAAUGGCUACCAAGAAAUCUUGAAUCUUCUCAUAUUUUAAUUCCACGCCUGCCUUUGUCAUUGUCAUUGAGUAGGAAAAGUCAAUAGGCCAAUAUGUUUCUCUUCCUCCAAAACUAACGUCUACCUCGAAGUACCUUAACUUGCCAAGAUCAACAACUUUCAUGGCCUUCCAUAUUUGGAAGUGACGAGAUGGCAAACAACCUGUCAACUUAUUGAAGGAAAGAUCAAGAAUUUGCAACUUUGGAAACUCAUUGGAUUUUGGUUCUCCAAUUGCACCAUGAAAUCCAUUAUGCCGUAGGAUGAGAAUUUUCAACUCUUGAAGCCUUCCUAACCAAGAGGGAAACAUGUCCUCUAUUUGAUUAUUUCCCAAAUUGUUGGGUUUUUGACACACUUUAACCGGGUAAAGUAAGAAUUUCAAACAGAGCACCAGCAGCAACGUAUUAUACCCGGAUAAAAUAUGAAGGAAAGAUGCUUUGUGUUAAAACCUUUCUAGCAUCUAUACCAAUUGUUGGGGAUUUUUGAAGGAGAGGAACAGAGCAGAGGAAGAAAUACAGGACAGAACAAGGCAGUAUUUUUUACUUGCUCACAAAUGUGCAGCAAGGGAGCUAUGGCUUCAGCUCAUUUAGCUCAUUCAUUCAAUUAGAAAAACAAUACAUUUAUAGAUAAAACACAUUACCAAAUACUACCUACUACCACUAAGUAGCCUAGGGACUUGCUAAGCAUUACUUGUACACAUCAAUAAGCUGAAUUAUCAGCUCAAUCAUCACCUAAACCCAUCAAAACAUCAAUAACUAAGUUCAUUUUCAACCAAACUAAACUAAAUUGCAACUACAACAGUCAACAUGUUGCUGCAGCAUGCAGCAUGCAUACAAGCCGUAUGCACUCAACAAAAACAUAACAGCAGCAUGGAUGGCCAAUUUCCAACACUCCUCCUUGGACUCCAUGCUGCAAAUGUCAUUCAUUCAUCAAGUUUUUGAACUUGGCAGUCCUUAGAUGCUUUCUUUCAAGCUGACCCUGCACAAGCACUUAAUUUUCAACCUUGGCAAAUGGAGUCUUCUCCUCCUUCACAGCCUUGGUUGACAACACAUCUUGCCUUGUUCCCUAUUACAGUACUGCUUCUUCUUGCAUAAACAGCUUGCAAGUAUAGUUUGCUUGCCUUCAGUCUGCCAUUUUUGGCUUGCACCCACUCGGUCUUGCAUUUUGCUGCUCGCAACUAUACACCUUUGACAGGCUCAUUUUUUUGCUUACUGUCUUCAACAGGUGUCUUCAACUUUGCUGCUUGCAACCAUACACCUUUGACAGGCUCGCACUUUGGCUUACUGUCUUCAGUUGGUGUCUUCAAUAGGCUCGCAACUAUCACUUCUUGCUAAGCUUGCAGCUUUGACAUCUUGCUAAGCUUGCAGCUUGCACAUUGGAAAGCUCACAUUCUUUCCUUGAAACUCCUCCUUCAGUCUAUCCCAGGCUUGUUUUGGUGUCUUCAUUUUAACCACCCAUAUGUGAUAGCCUUCUCCAUUAGAGACUGGUGGUGCAGCUGGUGAGAAGCUUGAUGAAGCCAUCGUUUUUUUUUUAAAAGUUUGCUAGAACAGGUCCCUUAAGAAUGCAACUCUAGAUACCAAUUGUUGGGUUUUUAACACACUUUAACCGGGUAAAGUAAGAAUUUCAAACAGAGCACCAGCAGCAACGUAUUAUACCCGGAUAAAAUAUGAAGGAAAGAUGCUUUGUGUUAAAACCUUUCUAGCAUCUAUACCAAUUGUUGGGGAUUUUUGAAGGAGAGGAACGGAGCAGAGGAAGAAAUACAGGACAGAACAAGGCAGUAUUUUUUACUUGCUCACAAAUGUGCAGCAAGGGAGCUAUGGCUUCAGCUCAUUUAGCUCAUUCAUUCAAUUAGAAAAACAAUACAUUUAUAGAUAAAACACAUUACCAAAUACUACCUACUACCACUAAGUAGCCUAGGGACUUGCUAAGCAUUACUUGUACACAUCAAUAAGCUGAAUUAUCAGCUCAAUCAUCACCUAAACCCAUCAAAACAUCAAUAACUAAGUUCAUUUUCAACCAAACUAAACUAAAUUGCAACUACAACAGUCAACAUGUUGCUGCAGCAUGCAGCAUGCAUACAAGCCGUAUGCACUCAACAAAAACAUAACAGCAGCAUGGAUGGCCAAUUUCCAACACAAAUUAAGAAGCUCUAGUAAGUUGCAGUUAACCAGUGAUCUCGGAAUACGUCCAUUCAAUUGAUUUUGACUAAGAUCAAUCAUCCUCAAUGUGUUUCCUUUUUCACAUGCUCGAGGAAUAGGGCCACUAAAGUUAUUGUUUUGGAGCUUUAGUACUGAAAGUGAUGUGCUUAGGUUGCCCAAACAUGGUGGAAGCAUGCCGCUGAAGCUGUUAUUUGAUAGGUCAAGUACAGUUACAUAUCCCUGAUGAGAUUUCUCCCUUGAGUAGGUUGUUUGAGACAAAAUAUUGGUAAAUGGAAGCGGGUGGAAUUGGUAGCGGCCCUUGUAGCAUGUUAGAACGAAGGUCCAACAAUCUCAGAUUGAUCCAUUGAGGGACAACAAUUGGUUGGUCGAAACCUCUAAGAAAGUUUUCACUUAAAUCUAAAACAUGAAGAGUUUGAGCAGAUAAGCCCCAUAUCCAUUUGGGGAUAAACCCAUGGAUUUUGUUAUCUCGAAGAUCAAGAAGCUCCACCUCGUCUUGACUCAGAAGAAAAUCUGGGAACUUGGAUAAGUUGCAAGAAGCCAGUGUUAACAAGGUAAAAUUUGGAAAAGUAACAUUUAUAACAGUAGUGGUAAGCAAUGAAAAAUGAUUACUAGACAGUUGAAGCACCUUCAGCUUUUUAAGAUUUAGAAAGGUUUCUAAUUUGUAUGUGCCGCUGAGGUGGUUACCAUAUAAAUCAAGUUCUACAAGAUUUUUCAGAGUAAAGAUCGAUUGUGGAACCGAACCCCAAAACUCGUUACCGCCUAGUUCCAAAAUGCUCAGCCCAGUAAGAUUACCGAACCAAGAUGGGAUUCGUUCAAAAAAUUGAUUCAGGGAAAGAUCCAAAUAUGUAAGCUUGGUAAGGUUUUUUAGAGAAUAUAGGAUGUCACCGUAUGAAUUUGUAGAAUCUAAAUUCAAUGCGGUUAGUUUGGUUAGCUUAGCAAGCCAAGACAAAGUGUCAGGGCUAAAUUCAUUUCCAGCUAGCGAGAGGUAAGUGAGCUGGGUAAGGUUGGCAAGGGAAGUGGGAAAUUUACCAUGCAAUUCACAAGCCACAAGAGAGAGAUAUGUUAAAGCAGAUAAAUUUGCCAAACUCUGAGGGAUUGUCGAAGAUACAUUUACCUUGUGAAGAUCAAGAUGCUUGAGGUUCACUAACCUCUCGGAUAAAAUUUUCAAGCUUGGGUUUCGGAGCUCUAAUGGAUUCCUAGAGAGAUCAAGUAUCACCAGGUUUGAAAGCUGUAGAACUUCAUAUGGAAUUUGACCUGUAAAGCCAGACCAGGAGAGGUCCAACCGUGAUAGCCUUGUAAGGUUACCAAUUGCAGAAGGGAUUUCAGAGCGAUUGAAGUUAUUGUCCGAAAGGUUGAGCCUUCUAAGGUGAUGGAGCUGGAAAAGGCUGUUGUUGGAGUUGAUAGAGCCAUAAAGGAAACUGCUGCUGAGAUCAAGUCCAAUAACGUGGCCAGUGUUAUUAUCACACUCAACUCCAUCCCAAGAGCAGCAAUCCCCACCGACCUGUCCUUCAAGUUUCCAAGAACUAACUUUCGGAUAAGCUAAAGUAUCAUCAGAAGCUGACUGAUUGAGAAUGAAGCUAUCCUUCAACCGCAACAAAGCAGAGCGUUCAGAAUCCAGACAAAAUCGCAGCAUAGAAGAAACACAUUGAGUAAGAAAAUGAGAGAGAAUUAAAAAGAGUAGGCAUUUUAGUAGAAAGUGUUGUAAUAACUGCCCCAUAUUAGCUCAACAGAUUUGUUGUUGUUGUUGUUGUAAAGUGUUGCAAAUAACAGCCACUUUUAUAGACAAAUCAAGUUGUAUAUAUGCGUAUGUGUAUGCGUAUGUAUGUAUCAUUGACAAUGAGAGCUCGGUUACUUGUGGAAAUGUCCAACUAGCAAACUCUCAAAGGCCAUCGUGGUCCCAUUUUCCAUGGUCGUAUAAGGAGAAAAAAUGAGGAGUAAUAAAGGAUUCAAAUAAGCUAUUGUCAAUUGAAAAUGAUAAUAAUGACAUUGAAAUUAAGGUCCUAUGUUGCUUUGGUUGGCCUCUCAAUGGCAGGCUAGAUUCUUCUUAUACCCCAAGUAAUUCACGCACGCCAGUUUUUUAUAUUAUAUUUAUAUUUAUUUGUUUAAGAAUUAUUACAAAAUCUGUUAAAUUUAAAAUAUAUAUAUAUUCAACAAGUUUAAAUAAUAUAAUAUAAACUUUUAUUAUGAUCAAUUUGUACUAAUUUUAAUUUAAUUUAGAAAUAUUUUGUCAGAAGAAUAUUUUUGAAUUUAAUAUAAAAAAAAACAUUUUAAUUUAAAAGAAAGUGUUCUGAAAGUGCUUUCUUUUAAAUAUGUAUUAAAACAUUAUUAUAACUUAAUUUAAAACCAAACUAUAGAUUAAAUUUUACUGCACUGUUCAAAUUCUGAAGGCAUGCUUAUUACUUUAAAUUAUUAUGUUUAAAAUGGGAUUAUGCAUUAAAAGCACAAAAGCAACAAAAGAAGAUGUAUUUGACGCAUGUAAUUAAGUAUGCCAACUUACUUUAGUAUAUUCAUGAUCGUGCCAUGCACGUGUGGAUCAAUGUAAUUAUAUUAAAUUAGUUAUUCCAAUUUAAAAAAAAAUUAAAUCGUUGCACUUAAAACAGUAAUAUAAUCAAAGUAAUACAAUAUAAUAAUAUGUUAUAAGAUAAAUAUGGACUCUUGACAGCUCAACAUCAUAAUCACGAUUCAAUCUAAAGUCCAUAAUUCAAGGGAUUGUUUUAGAGAGUUUCGAUCCAAAUCAGUUGCCAAUAUUCUCAUUUCCAAGUAGAAAGGUCUUUCAUAAUGAGUUAAAUAUUCACCAUGUAAUCAACAUAGCUCAAAUAUAAGAUUUAAUAAAUUGUCUAACAUCUAAAUAUAAAACUUGUCUCCAUAUAGAUUUGAUAGUUAAGGAACUGGGCACUCCUUUUGACACUAAAUUAUCAAUUUUAUAUUUUUUUAAUUUUAAUGUAUAAGAAAAAGAUAAUUGAUUCUAAAACUAAAUUAUUUGAAUUUACAAAUUUAAUGUAUUAUUUAAUUUUGGAAUUGAUUAUACUUUGUUUAAUAUAUUAUUUUUAAUAUUUUAAUUUUUUUUUUGGUAAAACUAAAUGAUUAGGAAUGUCCCUUGUAUAAUUAAAAUGCAAGAGAUUAAUAUAAAAUUGUUAUCAUUUAAAAAAAAAGUGUAAUAAUUUUAAUAUAUUUCAUUAUAUUGUAUGCCAAUCACAAAGUUAUUUUAGAAUGGGAUAUGUUAGAAUAUCAUAUGUAAAAAAGAAUGUUUGUAAAAUUGUAAGCAGAAUUUAAAAUGAAACAUUGAGAAUAAAAAAUGAAUAUAUAAUAAUACUAAAAUGUAAAUUAUAUUUUUGAAAUUGUUCAGAAUAUGUGUUUCUGUAUAUUAUUUAUCACUUGGGAAUGUACAUUUCUCACGUAAUUAUAUUUUGGAAAUAAUUUAUUUUAUAUCACGUGUCUGAUUUUUUUAAUAUUAUUUUCGUUAUUUAUUCAAUUAGUUAUAUUAUGAGAUUAAUUGUGGUGUGAAUAUAAAUAUUUAAUAUGUGAUAUUUGAAAUUAAAAAAAUAAAUACAAGAAAAGUUUUUAUUCAAAUAUACCAUAAAUAUAAUAAUUUUUCCAUAAGUGUUAACAAUGCAAUAACCCCUCAAUCACUUUUCUGAAUCGGGUAUAGGAAUUCAUUGAGCGAAGGAUGGCGAGGACGAUCGUAGUUAAAUUACUUGGCAGAAGAAUUGGUUUUAAUGUAGUGUUGAAUAGGAUUUCGUUACUAUGGAAUCUUAGGCACCCGAUUCAAAUGAUAGAUCUUGAAAAUGAUUUUUUCAUGGUUCGGUUUCAGGAUGAGGACUAUAGUCAGGCUUUAGUUGGGAGACCGUGGGUAAUCUAUGGCCACUACUUAACUGUCCGACCAUGGUCAUCAGAAUUCUCAACAAAUUAGAUUGAAGUAGAGCAUCAGGUGGUGUGGAUUAGACUUCCGAGCUUACCUGAAGGGAAUUAUUCAGAUUGUCUCCUUUGAGCGAAUGGGCAUACGAUCGGUCCAAUGAUAAAACUGGAUAUGCAUGUUGUUAGUGCUCGCUGGGGAAAUAUUGCAUGACUAGUAGUGUGCGUGGAUUUGAGAAAGUCGUUGGUGUCAAUGGUAAAAAUCAAUGGACGAUUGCAACAUGUAGAGUACGAGUCUCUACAAAAUGUUUGUUUCAAAUGCGGCCGGUAUGGUCAUGGUGUGAACGGCUGUCUAGGAUCUUAAAUGCCGUCACCAAAAAAUGGAUAAGGUCAGCAUGAAACUAUUUCGAAGGUAUCAGGUUUAGAUUGAAGGGUAGAGGAUGAAGCUAUCAGGCCGUGGAUACUGGUGGAGAGGCGAUAGAGAGGGAAGGGGCAUUUCAUGGGGAUGAAAAAAAUCGGUGGUUCAAGCGUGAAUGGUGGAGGACCGCGAUUCACGGCAUGAAUGGAGAAUGAAGCAAGAGAGUCGGUUAAAAUUGGGGGAUUUGAUGGAGGGGUCACUACUACAAAACAGGUUUUUAGCGGCGUUUUUAGAACGUCGCUAAAAGAUUAAGUCGAACGACGUCGUUUACUUGGAGCUUCAGUGGCAUUAGCGGCGUUCCUAAAAACGUCACUAGAAGUCAACCAUUACCGGCGCCUUUUUAAAAGCGCCGCUAAAAGAUUAAGCAUGACGCCUUCUGAGCUUCAGUGGCAUUAGCGGCACUUUGUGGAAAACGCCACAAUAGCUUGAGUUUUAGCGGUGCUUUUUUAAAAACGCUGCUAUAGAUCUAAACUAUUUUAAGGUUUAUGAAUUAUGAGUUUAAGGGUUGGGGUUUAAGGUUGAUGGUUUAUGUUUUAUGUUUUAUGUUUUAUGAUUUAGUGUUUGGAGAUUAUAGUUAAGGGUUUAGGGUUUAGAUUAAUUAGUAUUUUUUAAUUUAUAUAUUAAAUAAUCUCUUAUAUAAUUAUAAAAGAGAUAAUAUUAAUUUUAAUAUUUUAAAAUUAUAAAAAAUUAUUUAUUGAAAAAUAAAUAAAAAAAAGUAACAGAUUGAUAUGGAUAGGUAAUUAUCUAUUUUGGAUAGGACCAAAUUAUAACAAAUUAAAUGAGGUCUUAUUUUUAUUUUGAAUUCGAUUUUAUUUUGAUCAUAUCUAAAACCGACUUUAUAAACAAUAUAAAUUAACUACACCAUUCACUUAGCUAUGGGAAAGUUAAUUUCAUUUUAGUUACUUAAUUUUAAAAAGUUACACUUUGAUAACUAAACUAUUUAAUUAGAAGUUUUCAUUUAAUUAAGUUACGAAGCUGUUAAAAUCAAUGUUAUGGCUUUCUCUAAACCCUAACCCCUAACCCCUUAAAUCAACAACACUUUAAACCCCAGACCCUAAAUCUCUAAUUAUAAACCCCUAAAACUAUAAACACUAAUCAAUAACUCUUUAAACACCAAACCCUAAAUCUCAAAUCAUAAACCCUUAAAAUUCCAACCCCUAAACAUCAACUCUUAAACCCCAAGCCCUAAAACUAACCUCUAAACCCAUAAACUAUAGAUCGUAAAUCCCAAACCCUAAACUAUAAACCAUAAAUCAUAAACUCUUAAACCAUAAACACUAAAAUCUAAAAAAUAAAUUUCAUAUGGAUAUUAAGUAUAUAUAGAAUGAUUCAAUGUAAGAGCAAAAAACAAAACACAAACAAAAAAAAAGGAAAAAAAAAAGUGAAAUGGCAAAAUGAUUGCAAAACGUUGCCGUUUUAAGCUUUAUUUUAUAUGUUAAUUUAAAAAUUAUAAAAAUCUUCAAAAAAAAUUAAAAUUUAAAAAUAAAAAACUAAAAAUUAAAAAAAAAACUUAAAAGUUUAAUAUUUAAUAUUUUAGUUCAUGUUUCAGUUAAAAAGUUCAAUAUUCAAAAUUUUUAAAAAAAUUCCGAAAAAUGAUAAACUUAGCACAAAAAUUUUGAAAUAAAAAAAUAGAAAAAAAUAGGUUAAAAAUAAAAAAAUUAAAAUUAAACAAUAGCGGCGUUUUUGAUAAAAAUACCAUAAAAAAUUUAGCUAUAGUGGCAUUUUUGAUAAAAACGCCGCAAAAAAACGAAUAAUUUUUUGUUACCCGCUCAUUACUUACUCCCUCUUCUUCUCAUCUCUGUCGCGCGCCCUAAGUCCCCCCCAAAAAAAUGGUUUGUACUUAUUUCUUUUUCCCUUUUACUCUGAAAAUUUGCCCCCAAAUUUGCCCCUCUUCUCUCCCUCGUCUCUGCAAAUCAGUUUAUUUUUCUCAUCUCAGUUCUCGACCACCGCCGUCUCCGUUGAUUUUUUCCGGAUUUGACCUGUAUUCCGUGUCGAAUCGUGUUGACACAGGUACUGCACCCCAAAUUGCCGAGCCAGGGUAACAAAGCUUACCAUCCCCUCUUCUCUCUCUCGUAUCUACAAAUCAGGUUUCUUCAUUCUCUUCUCAUCUCAGUUCUCGCCCACCUCCUCUGGUUUUUGUCGGAUCUGACCCGUAUACCGUGUCGGAUCCUGUCGACACAAGUACUGCAUCCCAAAUUGCUCCGAGCCCGGAUAUACGGGAUUGGGCACAGAGCAAGAAUCUGCAUUGCGAUGGCGACCGAGGCAACUGGUUUUUCGGCCUUAUUCAUCUAUAAAUGGUGCUGAUAGAAAGCUGCGUGUUGUUGUUAGGAAGCCUAUAAGUUCGCCUUUCUAAUUGAUUGCCUAUUCAUUUUUAGUUCGAAAGUUUUGUCAGCACUUGUUUCUAUGCUGAAAUGUAUUGCAAAUUGAGGAGCUUUUUAUUUGGAUCGAUCUGAAUUUGUAUGGUUUAAGAGAUGUUUAACUGGUUUUACUCUUACAUGUGGUUUUAUUAGUGAUUCUCUUUAUCUUACUCAAGGAAAGCAUAUAUAACCCAAGUAAGCAUAUGAGCUAAUGUUGCAGAGGUUUCUAAGCUGAUUCGUAGGUGGAUCUGGUCUUUUUUGGGUUACAGGUGGUAUUCUUCUAGGGCAUUAAGUUGUAAACUAUGGUUUGAUGUUCAAUCGUUUUAAUAAAAUCUACUUUGCUGAGCCAAAAAAAAAAAGGUUAGAAGAGAGAGUCCCUUACUGUCUAAAUGUUCACUAGUGGCAAAUAGAUCAUAGAAAGUUCUAAACAAGAUAGGGAAUGAUAUGCUUAAUUCAGUUAGUCUCUACAUUACAAGAGCUCGAGAGGAGUCUCGAAUAUGGGGUAUGUGUCUAAGUCUAACACGGGUAUGCUCAAAUUUUCCUUAGCUUUUUUCUCAUAUUUUGAGGGUCAUUACACCAUACCAAUGUCUGAAUAUGUGUUGAAUGUAGGUGUUGGGCGCAGGUAUUCUAGGGAAAAUGAAAAGUCUAGUUGACAUAAGUUAGUCUUAUAUUCAUUAUUUCAGUAAGCUUAAGCGGAUUCGGUGAUCAAAUUGGUUUCAGGUGGAAGAACGUGAUGUGUCUAUACAAAUAUUAUUUAAUUGAGAUUAUGAUAUUGAUUUUAGAUCCCGAGUUCUAUCUAUCCUGAUACUAUCAAUCAAUGCAACUAAUGCCAGACUAUGAUUUCUAUAAUUUCUCUUUAAAUAUUUUAUCAUAUUGAAAAAUUAUGUAAUUGGAAAUUUUAUUUCUUUUUGUAAAUCAUUUUUCUUUAAAUUUUAUUUCUUUGUGUAAAUUAUUUUUCUUUAAAUUUUAUUUAUUUUUGUAAUUUCUCUUUAAAUUUUAUUUAUUUGUGUAAAUCAUUUUUCUUUGUUUAGUGACACAAUGAAUCUUUGAACAUAAUUUCUAUUUAGUUACAUAUAAAUGAUUUUUUAAAAAUUGUGUUUAUAACUUUUUUAAAGUAUUAUAUAUAUGUCAAAUUCUGCUGUUUGUCAUUGAACUAUGUGUAUGUUACUGAUUUAGUAUUUAUACUCUAAUUUGGCAAUUUUUAAUCGUUUUUUGUUCUUUAAAAAAAAUUAGUUCUGACAUUAAAUUCCUUAAACUAAAUUAUAUAAUUUCAAAAAUCUUAUCUGAUAAAUAAAUUAUUUAUAAUGUUAUGUCAAUUUACUAGCACUGCCAUAUCAUUUCAAUUGAUUUGAUUUUCAAAAAUUUGAAAACAGGGUUACUCAAUUUUAACUUCAAGUCACAUAUUCCAUUUGUUAGGAAAAGCUAUAUCUUUUUUCAGAAUUUUAUAAAAAAAGAUUUUAUUUGAAUUUUCUAUUGUGGUACAUUAAAGUUCAUAUGUAGCUCAAUUCCAUGUGUUGCUUUAUUUAUAGGUGCUUCGAGAGUUCAAUCAUGUUAAUCCACAAACAGAUGAGGAAGGAAAAGUAUUUUUAGACACAAGAGUAAGUUUCUUCAUGCCUCGUGGUAACUGAAAGAAUUUAUCCUGUCCUUUGAUCUAUCAGCUGGUACAUGAUAUUAGAUAGCUGUUUCUGGAUACUAUUAAUUUCUACUUUCCUGAUUUAUUGAAUAAAGAAUUCUUUACAUCUGAAUGUAGCUGCGUAUCUAAAUAAUAGAUUGUUUGAGGAUGGGCCAUGGAUUUGGUGAUAUUUUUUAUUUAAACUAUCUAGGUUUUAGAUGCAACGCCUGUACAUGCAAAGGCACAUGAUUAAUGUCAUCAAUUGCAAUAUUUUUUAAGAAAUAUUGAACCAUCUUUUGGUCUUUGGUAUGUAUUUAUAUGAUUGGAAUUUUGUUUAGGAAAGGAUUGAAUAUUGUUUUCUUCAUUUUCUGAUAUUUGUUUGCAGAAGAAAUUAAUUAUGCAUUUGAGGCAUGGAGUAUUCACACUUGCUUUUCUUGUAAAAUAGCAAGUUUCUACCAUCUCUGAUGGCAAUACAAAUAUUUGAGUUGAUUGGGUGGCAUUAACAUAGGACUCUUCCUGCUGGUUACUUGGAAAUUGGGGAGCCCACUGCUGAAGGGGCAAUAAGGGAAACAUGGGAAGAGGCAGGUGCUGAAGUGGAAGUCAUUUCCCCUUUUGCACAACUAGAUAUUCCCCUUAUUGGACAAGUUAGAAUAAGCAUCCUUAAUUUACUUCUGUAUCUCAUGUACAUUUAUGGAAGAUGUUUAUGUAUCUAACAUCGUUUUGUCUUUUUUGGAGCAGACUUAUGUAAUCUUCUUGGCAAAGCUGAAGAAGCCCCAAUUUUCACCAGGACCAGAAUCAUCCGAGUGCUAUCUCUUUGAAUUGGACGACAUUCUCUUUGAUUCUUUGACAUUUUCUUCCAUUUUUGUUACUUUGAAUUUGGUAUGAGCUUUUUCUUUUUCUUUCUUUCCAUAAAUGUAAAUGUGCUUAAAAUUUAUCUAAAAAUUCUCAUCGACAUAAAUUUUCAUAAAUUGUAUUAUCUCUCUGUUGCUGCAGUACAUCGAAGAUGUUAAAUAUAGGAAAGUAAAGUUUCACUAUGGCACCAUUAACAAAAGGUUAAGUGUUCUCUUGUUGCUUUUACUAGGUUAAGAAGCGAAUGAGGAAGCCUAUCUAUGUCUACUACCAACUGGACAAUUUCUACCAGAAUCAUCAAAGUUAUAUCUUUUCUACCUUCACUAUAAGUUUUACACCCCAUUAUGUGCUUUAUUGCAUGCUGGCUGAUCUUUAAAAUGAUGUUAAGGAUAUCCUUUUUUUCAUUAGCAGACAUCAUGCAAUAUUUUAACUAAUAUUAUUAACAUUUACCAUAUGCUUUUUACAUGAAUCCAUAUGAUUUUUGGAUUUUAUGGAAGUUUGUAUCUCUUAAACUGGAAUAACAACCAUCAGUAUGAGUUUCUAUUAAUGUCCUCUAGAUAUGAAAUCAAAUUGUGUUGAAUUAUAUUGUAAAACCACCGAAAAAUAUUUGUCCUCUUAAUAUCAAACUCUAGAGUCUAGAAUCUAGGCACCUCGGUGUGGAUAAUAGAUUGUAACUAGAUUUAUCUACCAAAGUGACGAUGAAUUUGAUCAGUUGGUUUUGCAUCCUUUAGAUAUUGAAGGUGCGACAAAGGAUUCAAUCUCUUCAAGCUGGAAAUGCCAAGGCUUAGCACUUCUUCAAGUGGAACGUUAUUUAAUGUUGCAUUUCAUGGUCAUUCAUCUUAGUCAGAACUUGAAUUUUGUGUUAUGGAAAUAGGGUUUUGUAGCUACCUUGUGUACCAGCUUCUUUAACCAUGAUGGUUAAUUAUUAUGAGUUUUGUAGCUUCUUUUAUAAUUGGCCGAGUUAAUAUAGAUCAGAUGAGCUGUAAGGUAGAUUGCCCAUUUAUUUAAACAUAAUAUUUAAAUUCUAAAUUUAAAUUCAUUAAUUUAGUUUUAAAGUUAAAAUUUUAAUAGAAAAUUUAAUUUAAUUAAUAUUUUUUUAUUUAUCCUUAAAAGUAUAUAGUUUAAAGUUUAAAUUUCAAAAAUAAAACAUAAUAUAAUAUUUAUCAUAGAAAAUAAAUAUUAUUUAAUUAAAAUAUUUUUUUAAAGUUUAUAUUCUUUAGCGGCGUUUGUGAAAAAGCGUCGCUAAAGGUUUGUUAUAUAGUAGCGUUUUUUAGAAAAAGCAACUCGAAAGGUCAUGGUUUUUAACGGCGUUUUUGAAAAAAGUGCUGCUAAAGGUCAUAGUUUUUAGCGGCGUUUGUAAAAAAAGCGCCACUAAAGGUCAUGAUCUUUAACGGCAUUUGCGGGGAAAACGACACUAAAGGUCAUGGUCUUUAGCGGCGUUUGCAAAAAAAGCGCAGCUAAAAGUCAUGGUCUUUAGCGGCUUUUUUUGUGACGCUUGUGAAAACGCCACAAAUAGAUCUAACGGCACUUAAAAGCGCCGUUAAAGGCAAAAAAAAUGCCGCUAAAAGUCUGUUCUCCUGUAGUGGGUGAAAGAAGGAGUUAACGUGAAUAACAAAAAUAUUGAAGAAAAGACUGGUGGGUUUAAUGUCAAAGGGCUUAGAAGUCCUUCUAGAGUGGGCAACGGGCCGAAGGGAAAAGUUUAGUAAUUGCUAGUAGGCCAAACAAGGGGAAUAGAUUAUUAAGGCCAACACAUGGCAACGAAAAUAUGUAGCCCAUUUUUGGGCAAAGAUCCUUUGAUGAUGGUACAAUUAUGGGGCCAAAAUUGGAUGGGGGAAUUUUGAAUAAAUUGGGUGUUCAAUCAAUUAAUGUGUUAGUUAAAUUGGACAUAGGGAAACAUAAAGUAGUUCACUUAGUAAAAAACCCAAGCUCAGAUUCAGUUAAAGGAAAAGAGAAUGGAAAUUUUAAUUUUGGGGAAUCAAGAAAAAUAAUUUCGUGUUCUUUACUAAAAGAAAACAAUACAAGGGGAAGGUUGCAGGACAAGCCACCGGAUGACGAUUCUGAAGGGUUUGCAUAUAAUACAAUGGUUUUUGCGAAGGUAAUGGCGGACCUUGUUAGUAUCUUGGAACAAUGAGUCAAAAGAAUACCGAUGGAAGACGAUGAGUCAUCAAGAGAGGAGGUUAGGAAAGAUAAGAGUAUAUGUAAUGAUAAGGUUAGUUGUUGAGAUGACUACUUAUUUUUGGGGUUGGUUUUUUUUUACUAUUUAUUUGUUUUAUGGAUACAAAAAAAAAUUCUUGGAACUAUCAAGGAGCCAGGCAUCCCCGUUUCCAUAAUAUUGUAAAAGAAUAUAGAAAAAAGUUUUCCCCUAAUUUAGUUAGUUUCUUUGAAACCCGAGUUAGUGGAGUAAGAGCUGGUGGUAUUAUUUCUAGAAUUGGGUAUCCUAAUUCGUACCGGGUUAAAGCUAAUGGGUUUGUUGGAGGUAUUUGGAUUUGUUGGAAUGAGAAUUUUCUAGUAAAUGUAUUGGUUGUUCAUUCACAAGCUAUCUAUUUAAGGGUUCGCAAUAAGCAAGGUUCAGAUAGUUUCCUUUGUUUGGUUAUUUAUGCUUGUCCAUAGUCGGCUAAGCGGCAAAAAUUUGGCAACUUUUGGAUAAUCUAGUAGUGUCAGUGGUCGAGCCCUAGAUUUUAGCUGGGGAUUUUAAUUUGAUCAUCGAUCGUUCUGAAAGAGAGGGUUGUGCUUCUGUUUCAAGGGUUGGGUGUAGACAAUUCUACAAGUUUUGUUUACUAAUGGCUUAAGGGACUUAGGAGCCAAUGGUUCUCAAUUUACUUAGUGCUAGGGAGCUGGUCUCAGAUGUUGGAUAGAGCUAUUUGCAAUGAGGAAUGAGAUUCUUUUGCGCCUGAAUGUUCCGUUAGAAAUUUACAUAGGCUAAAAUUCGACCACAGACCAAUUCUUAUCUCGCUUUGGCCAAUAGAGGUCAUAAGCCAUUCUGUUGUCUUGCCAGUUGGAUGGUACAUACUAAUUUUAAACACCUUGUCAUAGAGAGUUGGAUUAACGAGGGGGCCAUUUAUGCGAAUUUAGAGUUUAUUAAGGAAGUAUCUCAGGAGUGGAAUAAAAGGGUUUUUGGCAACAUUUUUAUUCGCAAACGAAAAUUAAUUUUUGAAUUAAACCGAAUUCAAAGAGUUUUGGAAUAAAAGUCUUUUUCUCCCCUAAUACACCUAGGGCUCUGGUUGAUGCUAUUUGUGCUGAUGUGGGGUUCACCUCUGUGGAUGAUUUGGGCAACUAUCUUGGAAUGCCUUUAUUCCAUACUAGAGUUACAAUAGGUACUUUUUCUUUCGUGGUAGAUAAAGUAAGAAAAAAGUUGUCUAGUUGGAAAGUGAGGACUUUGUGUAAUAUCCUGAUUUUGGGCCUAGUCGAAAUAGUGGUUUCGUGACCAUAAAAUCUGAUAUAGAAAUAAUUAUUUGAUGAUUAUUUUGAGGUCUAUGAUAUGAUUGCAUGAUUGUGUAAAAAUUUCGUGAAGAAAUUUUAUGCAUAAAGUGCUUAAAUUGAAAUUAGGGACUAAAUCGAAUAAUUUGCAAAACUUGCAUUCUAGAAGUUUCUAGUAUGAAAUUGUUUUGAAAUAUUAAUUAGGAGGUCUUAAAUAGCAAUUUUACCAAUUCCUAAGUCUAUGGACAAAAAUUGGACAUGGAUUGAAUUUUUGGAAAGUUUAGUAGUAAGGGUAUUUUGGUCAUUUAGGGGUAAAAUGAAUUAAAAUACAAAAUUAAAAGCCAAUUUUGCUCAUCUUCAACCCCAUGGCCGAAUAUAGCAAGGAGAAACCAUGGCUAGGGUUUUUCAAGCUUCCAAGCUCGAUUAGCAAGGAAAACUAAAAUUCGGGCUAAAAUGGGGAAAAUACCAAGUUGUGGACGAAAUGGUAAAAGUAGCCAUUUUCGCAUACGAGUUUUGACAAGCCAGCUCAGAAAUCGGGAACGGUCGGAGGCUCGCUCACACUAUCCGUAUACCAUCUUGGCAUAAUAGCUUGUAUAUUUUGAGUAUGGCAUGUAUAGCAUUAUAAUCAUUUUGUAUAUAUGGUCUUAUGAUAUGGUUAUUGAGUGGUAUGGAAAUGCUUGAUAAUGAUUAGCAAUUGGAAUGGCUAAUCAUGAUCAUAUUUGGUGUUAUGUAUGUCAAAUUGCUAGCUAAUCCAUGGAAACCAUGAAAUAGGUAAAAUUUACCAUAAAAUAGAUUCAGACAGCAAUAGUGACGUGAAUUUGAAAAAUCACUAAAAAUAGUAGAAAUGGAAUUAAAUAAUGAAUAAGUUAUGGAAUCGAAGAUUGAUGAGUCUAUUUUCAUAUUGAAGAAGCAAAACAGGUAUAUGAGCUAUAUUUUAUGAGAUGUUUAAGUUUUUGUGAAACAGGGCUAGAGCGAUUUCUGGAUCCCCUGUUAUGACUUUGGAAAUUCACUAUAAAUUUUAAAAAGAUAAUUAGAAGUCAUGAUUUAUAUGUACAGAUUAUUGAGUCUAGUUUUAUUAGAGACAAACGGCAUAGUCAUUGAAGCUCUGUACAGGGAGAUAUCUGAUUCGUAAUACACAAAGGUCAGAGUAGUUGAACCCUGAAACAGGGGAGACUUUAACUAAUAAACUGUACUAAUUGGCCCAACCAAAAUUUCUAGAAAAAUAUUAGUAGAUAGAUAAAUGAGUCUAGUUUCAGGAAAAAUUUACGGAAUUUGAUUUCGAGUUUCUUAAUUCGAGAUAUGAUUUUUAAAGUGACUGUGAUGCAGUUAGCCAGCUUGUCUGAAAAUUUUAAAAUGAAUUGUAUGACCUGUUUAAUUAAUGAAUUAAGUCCGUUAACACAUCGUGUUCGACUCCGGAAACGGUCUCGGGUACGGGGCGUUACAUUUAGUGGUAUCAGAGCAGGUUUAGUCGGUUCUCAGACUAACCUAGCAUGUGUAAAAGUUUAGCUAUACAUGCCACUGAUCUGUGAUAGUGUGAUGUCUUCCGACGCGUAUGAGUACCGUCUUAUUUAGACAGGGUACUCUCCAACCGAGCUGUGCCGACCAUGUUCAAUGUUAUGUGAAGGUAUUUGAGUAAAAUUAUGAUUAUGAUAAGUUUCGGUUCAGAAAAGUAUGAAUAAAGGUUUAUGAUACAUAUGUGAUAAAUAUUAAUAUUUGCUUAAUGCUCAUAUGAUGUAGUGUAUGUGGCUUACUUGAUAAGAUGAAUGGAAUAAAUAGAAAGUAGUAGAGGUAUGAAUAAAGGUCAUAAUAUUAUGAUACAAAUGAAAAUGUCAUUGUCUUGAUUUGGACGUCGAAUGUUGAUGAAUGCUAAUGAUAUAUAAUUUUUAUGAGAUAAAGGAUUAUAAUGAAAUGAACUUAUCUAUGUUAAAUUGUUGGACUGAAUUAUAUGAUUGUAACGAUAUGUACAUGAUGAUGCACGAAAUGAAAGUUGUAAUUGUGGUGCAAAUAUCUAUGUUUGUUUGGCCUUAUAUGAUGUCAUGAGCAUGACUUAAUUUAAUUAAAUGAAUGGAUAAGUAAAGCUAUCUAGAAAACAUAGAAUGUAUGCAUAAAUAUAUUGUCUAAAUGGGACAAUAGGAAAAUUGGUGUAAGCCAACAUGAAUGAAUGACAUGAUUUUGAUGAUGUUACUAUGAUGAUGGAAGUUGUGUCAUAUGUGUAUGUAUAAGAAAGUCGAGUCAGAGGUCCUACAACCCCUCCCCCUUACCGAAGUGGUACUUAUAAUGGAAUUUCAUGAGAUUUGUAUUGAAUAAGUUUCUGGUUGAGAACCCAAAGAGUUCAGUGAUAGAAUAAUUAUAAGUAUGAUCAGAGAUUGAAAAUGAGCUGAUAAGUAAAGUCAGAGCCAGUAAAGUAUCAGAUUGAUAUAAAGAUUAUUGAAAUUAUGCACUGUCCCAGUUAGAGAAGGAAUUCUCUUUGGUAAAUCGAAUUACUCAGGUGCAAGGUCGAGAAAAGUGUAAAUCGAAAUUUAUUCAGAACUGACCUUCUUUAGUGAAUGGUUUAAUAUGAAAUUUGUGAUGGCAGAACUAGUUGGAGAAAUGAUAAUUGAAAUGUGAACUAUCUGAGUGUGACAGUUAUGACUGGACAGAUUUAGCAGUCUCUUUUGAGAUGUUCUAUGUGUUUACCCAUUCUCAGAAAUAUUUCUAUGGCUAUUGAUCUUCUGAAGAAAUUCUUGUUAUAUGGGAAUGUCUUCUAAUUCUGGUGUUGGAUGAAAGCAUUGGUAGUCUGACUGGUUUAUAAUUUAUAUUGCUCUAUUUCAUCGGGUAUUCUAUUUCAUUUCGUCUGAUAAGAAUUGAUGAGAGAAUACGUAUGAUAUUAUGAUUCUGUUUCUUCUACUUGAUGCUUCAUCUGAUAUAUAUGUAUGGGAAGAUAUAUUGAUCUUGUUAUAUUUGAUUUCAGUGGGAUUAAAUGAUGUUUUCUUCUGGACUUUCUUUCUUUGAAGAAUUAUCGGGGUAUUCCGUAUUUUCUCUAUGAGUUUGGUUUUCGAUUCUCUGACAUAGUAUCGUAUCUUGGGUUUCUUUAUCCUGGAUCUCUUUAUUCUGGAUUUCUUUAUUCCGGGUUUCUCUAUCUUGGAUUUCUUUUUUCGAUUUUCUUGUUAUCUUUGUUCCAUAAUUUGUCAAUUACGACUCAUGUUUGAAGUGGGUUCUUCAGCUCGUGAUAAUCAUGUAAAAUAUGACUAUACUUCUAAUUUGAUCUUAGUAAUGUGGUGAUUUUAGUAUUGGGAUUUUUUCUAAUUUCUGUGUAAGGAUUUGACAUCAGUAAAGGCAUAUGUGAUAAAAGCGCGAGUUUCAGUCGGUAUGGUAAAUUAUUUAUUUGAAAGAUUUCAUGUGACAAUUAUGUCAGGAUUAUUUUUCCCAAGUCUGAUAAUAGAAUUUCAUUUUGUACGAAUAAAAGAGUAAAUAGUUUGAACGAGAAGUGUAUAUUUAUUAGAAAGAGUUGAAUAUUAGUUUAAGUCACUACGAAUGAUAAGGUUUCCAUCUUGUGAAAGCUGAAAAGUUUAUUACAUGUUGACAGAGUUCGGAUAGAUGAGAAUAUUGGUAACCGAAGCGUCUGAAUUAGACUAGUCUACAUUGAGCAAAGACUUCCUGACUUUCAGUAAUGUACUGUUGUAUGAAUUGUGAUGUGUUUCAAGACAGUGAGGUAAUGUGAUAGUUUAGAGCAUUCGAUGUUACAUAAAAUUGGAGUUGUUAAAGGGGUUAAAGCCGAGCAUUGGAAUCUAUCAAAAUUAUCCUUGUCAGUGUUGACAUUGGGAUGGAAAUGAGAAAGAUUAUUCUUGAGGCCAUAUCAGAAUUAAUUCCAUAGCAGAAAGAGGAAAAUGUGAUGUAUCCUAUUGUUAAAUGUUUAGCGAGAUCUAUAAAUCAUAUCUGUAUUGAAUGAAUUCCUACUCAUCAGAUUCAUGGAAUUUUAGGUCUCUUUGAUUGUUGGAUUUCUUAGAAUUCCAGUCUCCAUUAAUCAAGUUAAGAUCCGAGUUUUGUGUCAUGAUAUCAUGAGAAACUGAGAAGGGUUGAAAAUUUAAGAACAGUUGAGAGUUGAGACUGUAAGCUUUCAGAUCAUAUGAGAAAUUAAAGAGAUGUAUUGGAGGUACAGUCUAAGUGAAAGUUCUUUGGCACCGAAUAUGAGAUUAAAAGUGAAGACCACUUUUCUGGUAAGAUUUUCGGGGACGAAAAUCCCUAAAGGGGGAGAGUUGUAAUAUCCUGAUUUUGGGCCUAGUCGGAAUAGUGGUUUCGUGACCACAAAAUCUGAGAUAGAAAUAAUUAUUUUAUGAUUAUUUUGAGGUCUAUGAUAUGAUUGCAUGAUUGUGUGAAAAUUUCGUGAAGAAAUUUUAUGCAUAAAGUGCUUAAAUUGAAAUUAGGGACUAAAUCGAAUAAUUUGCAAAACUUGCAUUCUAGAAGUUUCUAGUAUGAAAUUGUUUUGAAAUAUUAAUUAGGAGGUCUUAAAUAGCAAUUUUACCAAUUCCUAAGUCUAUGGACAAAAAUUGGACAUGGAUGGAAUUUUUGGAAAGUUUAGUAGUAAGGACAUUUUGGUCAUUUAGGGGUAAAAUGAAUUAAAAUACAAAAUUAAAAGUCAAUUUUGCUCAUCUUCAACCCCAUGGCCGAAUAUAGCAAGGAGAAACCAUGGCUAGGGUUUUUCAAGCUUCCAAGCUCGAUUAGCAAGAAAAACUAAAAUUCGGGCUAAAAUGGGGAAAAUACCAAGUUGUGGACGAAAUGGUAAAAGUAGCCAUUUUCGCAUACGAGUUUUGACAAGCCAGCUCGAAAAUCGGGAACGGUCGGAGGCUCGCUCACACUAUCCGUAUACCAUCUUGGCAUAAUGGCUUGUAUAUUUUGAGUAUGGCAUGUAUAGCAUUAUAAUCAUUUUGUAUAUAUGGUCUUAUGAUAUGGUUAUUGAGUGGUAUGGAAAUGCUUGAUAAUGAUUAGCAAUUGGAAUGGCUAAUCAUGAUCAUAUUUGGUGUUAUGUAUGUCAAAUUGCUAGCUAAUCCAUGGAAACCAUGAAAUAGGUAAAAUUUACCAUAAAAUAGAUUCAGACAGCAAUAGUGACGUGAAUUUGAAAAAUCACUAAAAAUAGUAGAAAUGGAAUUAAAUAAUGAAUAAGUUAUGGAAUCGAAGAUUGAUGAGUCUAUUUUCAUAUGGAAGAAGCAAAACAGGUAUAUGAGCUAUAUUUUAUGAGAUGUUUAAGUUUUUGUGAAACAGGGCUAGAGCGAUUUCUGGAUCCCCUGUUAUGACUUUGGAAAUUCACCAUAAAUUUUAAAAAGAUAAUUACAAGUCAUUAUUUAUAUGUACAGAUUACUUAUUGAGUCUAGUUUUAUUAGAGACAAACGGCAUAGUCAUUGAAGCUCUGUACAGGGAGAUAUCUGAUUCGUAAUACACAGAGGUCAGAGUAGUUGAACCCUGAAACAGGGGAGACUUUAACUAAUAAACUGUACUAAUUGGCCCAACCAAAAAUUCUAGAAAAAUAUUAGUAGAUAUAUAUAUGAGUCUAGUUUCAUGAAAAAUUUACGGAAUUUGAUAUCAAGUUUCGUAAUUCGAGAUAUGAUUUUUAAAGUGACUGUGAUGCAGUUAGCCAGCUUGUCUGGAAAUUUUAAAAUGAAUUGUAUGAGCUGUUUAAUUAAUGAAUUAAGUCCGUUAACACCUCGUGUUCGACUCCGGCAACGGUCUCGGGUACGGGGCAUUACACUUUUUCCCUAGCAGGUUGUUUAACGUUGGUAAGUGCAGUCCUUUUGGCUAUUCCAAACUAUUUCAUGAUUAUGGUUUGUAUCCCCUGUAUCUAUUUGUAAGGAAAUCGAGCAUAUUGCCCGAAAUUUCCUUUGGGGUUCUAAUUUAAAUUCUAAAAAACCCGCUUUAGUAUUAUAGGAUGAUUGUUGUCGUCCUCUCGAUGUUGGAGGGUUACGAUUAAGGAGGUUAGCUUGUCAGAAUAAAAUUUUCCUAUUAAAGUUUGGGUUUUAGCUUCUUUUGAGAAAUAGAUGCUCUUUGGGUCAAAGUGUUGAGGAAUAAAUACAAUGUACAAGGUCUGUUACCAAGGUCCAUUGUUAGAAGUAACUGUUCGUUUCUUUGGAGAUUGUUGAUAAAGGUCUGGCUUGAAGUAAUGUCCUAUUGGUCCAUUGAAGAUAAUCAGCUCAUGAAUUUUUGGAAUGAUGUGUGGAUUCGACAAUUAGGGUCCCUUUGUAUGUUUUAUAAAGGUAUUGGUCAACCGAAUGAUACACUUCGGAUUUGUGAGUUGGUUACAAAAAGUGGAAGUUGGGACUGGUCUCGUCUAAGUUAUCUCUUACCAGAUAAUAUUGCCGCACAAAUCACAACUAUCUUGCGUUAUUCUUCUAAUGCAGAUCAAGAUCAAUUAGCGUGGAAAUGGAUGAGGAAAGAUGAUUUUUCCACAGCUGCAGCUUAUAGGAAUAUGCAUGCUAUUGAUGACAUAGGCUCCAUUGCGAUUUGGAAGAUUAUUUGGAAAACAAUGACAUCUCAAAAGGUUCGAGUUUUCCUUUGGCUUUUGUGGCAAAAUAAAUUAUUGAUGAAUAGUGAGCGAGUGAGGAGACACACGACAAGCGAUGGGGGUUGCCCUAGAUGUAGUAGUGUGUUGGAAACAGAAUCCCAUGUGAUUCGUGAUUGCCCAUUUGCUAAAUCAGUGUGGCUAUCAAUAAUUUCAAGGAGAGUUCAGGGCUUUUUUUUCCUCUCUUCCAUUUAAUGAGUGGUUUCUUUGGAAUAUGCAAAAUAUAGUGAUUUUUGGUACAUAGAAUAUGGAUUGGCAGACUCUGUUUUGUAUAAUAAGUUGGUUGCUUUGGAAAGAUCGAAACUCAUUUGUUUUUUUUCUAACAGCUAUAACUGUGUUCAAGCUAUUAUGGUUACAGGUUAUUCUUGAGCAAGGAGUUAUGCAGAAAUUGGUUCAAGUUUGUUUCAACCAAGUCCUAUGCACACGUUGUUGCAUUGGUCUCGACCGGAGAGGGGUUGUAACACCCCAAAACCCGACCUAGGAGUUUUGCCCAGAUCUCUGAGGUUACAUUGAUCACUGAAGUGAUCAAAAAGCAAUUUACAAAAAGAAUUGUUAAAAACUCAUUUCAAACACAGUUUGCUAAAUUCGAACUAAGCCAUUUAACAAUUUAAGAUUCAAAACAGUAAUUAAGUUACGUUAAAAACAUUCAGAAAUAAAAUCCACAGUUCCCAUAAACACUUACAGUCCAAAACAGUUUAAUAAAUUAAGAAUUGAAGAAAAAAUUUAUUAACUUAAUUCAAAACUUAUCACUCCGAGACAUCUAGUAUGCCGAGUCCAACUUCAGAACACGAAAGUACUUGAAAGGGAGAAAACUAAGAGGAUGAGCUACGCGAGCUCAAUGUGAGUCCGAAACGUAAACAAAUGGAAAAAGACGAGGUUUCAAAAAAAUUUAUCCCAGACAAGAACCACAGUUAAUGUAAAAAAACCUUAAAAUGGUAAUCAGAGGUACAGCACAUCAAAUAAGUAUAAACAUUCUCAAAUAAUUUUAACAAAAUCAUAAUCAAACACAUAUGCUCAAAUGCAAACCGAAUGCAACAAGUUAAAACCCACCUAACCACCCAAACACCACUUCGACCACCCUGCACACCACAUAUGAGCUAUAUCAAGCCCAUCCACCCUGCACACCACAUAGGACCAUGUUAGGUCCAUCCACCCUACAUACCAUAAAUGGUGGAACUAAGCCACUAUUAUAAUAAUAUGCAACUGAACUGACAUAUAUUUCCUGCAGAUGUACUACUGUACAUAAAUAUUGCAGUUAAACUGCCCAAACAGACUCCCUUCUCUUCACAACCAAAAUCCCAGAAUUUUCAUGUAAUUGCAAAAUGCACACUAUUUGCACAAAAAUCCCUAAAUUGCAACCACACGGCCGUGUGGCACAAAAAAUCACCCAAAAUCCCUAAUUCCCAAAGUCACACGACCGUAUGAAUCGCCCGUGUGCGGCACAUGCCCGUGUGGUAAUGAAACCAUACUAAAACAAGCAGAAAAAUGUGCUUUCCUCCACGAAAUGAGUUUCUAACAUCAGUAGUUCUAAAAACCCACAUUGAAAUCGAUUGAAAAUCAUGUAAUCCAUCAUCAAAACGACCCUUACCCGCUCUAAUUUCAAAAACAUACGGUUUAAUUUCAAUAACAUGCAAGAAAUAGCCGAAUUCCAUAAGAUCCAACAUCGAAACUAAACAGUUCAGAAACACAUCCGUAAUUGCCAAAUACUACAAAACCCUACAACAGUUUGAUACCAUGAUUAAACAAUUUAGAACACACACACACACACUUGUUUUUGUGAUCUAAAGCAAUACCCUCAAUCCGAAAAUUUAUUGUUGACGAAAGAGUAACCAAAUGACGAACAAAACUUAAAUCAAACGGCUUAGAAGCGUAACCAAAUGCUAACUGGUUGUGUGGUAAGCGUAACCAAAUGCUAACUGGUUGUGUGGUUUCUUGAUGGCUUUUGGCAAGGAUUAUGUAUUCAAAGUAGCAGUAAUGACGGUCUUAGAAGGUCUUUUUAUCGCUUGGAAGAAGGAUUUUAGACAGUUAGGGGUUGAAGGUGAUAAUGCACUAUUGGUGGAAUUACUUUUAGCUGAUGGAGGAGAAAAUAGCAGUUUGGUAGAGUUACAAUUGUUGCAUCAAAUUCUGAGAUGGAGUUGGAGAGUAAGGAUUCGUCAUAUUCCAAGAAUUCAUAAUAAAAUUGUCAAUCAUAUGACUAAAUGUUAUACUUAUGGAGUUUUAAGUUUACAAGUAUCUGAUGAUCUCUAAAUAUGGUAAAAAGUUUAUUGGUAACUAAUUUAAUUCAAUUGAUGCCUGAUUAAGAUAUUGUUUGAACUGAUUGAUCCUAAUGUAUUGAAAUGUGAAACACGCAAAUAGCAAAGGCCGUGGUCGUCUGCCCAUAUUCUAUUGUCGUAUAAGUGGAAAAAAGAAAACAGAAUCUUACUGACUAUAAGUCUUCAAUAAUAGCGAUUAAUUAAUUGACCAAGACUUUAAAAUUCAAAUGUCUACUGUCAAUUUAUGUUGAUAGAUACUAAUCUUCCUUUGUGAAUGAGUGGAAAUUACUUCCAACUUCGGAUACUGGAACAACUUGCUCAAAGUUUCAAUACAACCUCUUAAUUUUCUGUUUAAGAUUAUAUAAUUGUAGAAAAUUAAAAGUCAUUGUCGUCGUCCCAUUUUCUAUUGUCGUAUAAGUAGAAAAAAGCAAUCAGAAUCUAAUUCACCAAGUCUUAACUCGCAUAGCACAAUUUAGUAGACUAGCUAGUCAAUUUGUGGGUCAUAAGGGGUAGCCUUUGCCAUCUUCUUCGCUUUCUUCCUUCACCUUCAAUCUUACUUCCAACUUCGUAAUCCAUGAUUCUGGAAUAACCCACUCAAAUAGUUAUCUUCUUUAUCUAUAUUACAAGGAAUACCAUGAAAUUUUCUUAUUUGACGCGAAUAGUUAUCCUCUCGAUUAAUGAAAAUCGUUAAUUAACAAAUUUGACCAUUAAUCGUGUUGAUGUGGUUGACAGAAGUCACCAAAAGUUGCCAUGUGACAAUAUAUUCAUGUGCAAAAAUAAAUUUUUUUAUUUAAUGAAUUACAAUAGAAGGGUAAAGUCCUAACAGUAAUACAACUAGUGCAACUCAAACUCAUACCGUACUUGGGACGAUGAAUACCUUGACUAUCAGGCCAACGUAUGGGAUUCCAAAAUUAAUAAAUUUUAAUAAUUAUAAAAAUAUAUUUAAAAAUAUAUAUAAAAUUUUCAAAUCCAUAAAACUUCAAAUCUGUAAAAACAAAAACAGCAUAUAUCUAUGGGAAUAUAUAUUUCAAAUAUGAAAAUAACAAUAUAAAUUCUAAAAUUCGUGAAAUAUAAUUUUUUUUACAUGUAUUCUUUUAGUGUUCUUAAUUUUUUGGUAUUGUAUUUUAUAUAUUACUUUAAUUAUUUUUCUCAUGUUUUCUCAUUUCAUAAAACCAUAUGGUUUAAAACGUUACUAAAUUAUAAUUCACCAAAACAAAUUAAAUUAUUUCAUUAAACAAAAUUUUUAUUUACAAUAAUAAUGAAUUUAUGAUUAAGUUUUACUAAAAAAAACUUAUGAUUAAGUUUUACUAAAAAAAACUUAUGAUUAAGUUAAUUUUUCAAUAAAAUAGUUAAAUAAAAGAAUUUUCUAUAUUUGCAUCUAUUCAUGGGCCAGCCAAGUUCUCGUCCAAAAAGUGGGAGGGUUUGGGCAAAAAUAUAGGCUCAAAAAAUGGGUUUAGGCAAAAAAAAUAAGACCCAUUUAAAAAAGGAUCGGACCUCGGGUAAGGAAUUUUUGGCCCGGCUCAAAUUCACAAAAUGACAAAAAAAUUGCUAUUUUCUUGUUGUUUUCUCCCUAUUUUGCUAUCAUUUUACUAUUAUAUUGUUACUAUUUUGUUGUUAUUGUUUGAAUAUUAUAUAACACUUGUUUUAUUAUUAAUUUUGUUAUUAUUUUAGAGGCAUUUGCUUGUGAAGUUGUAUCUAUCUUUGUGUUAUUUAAGUAUACACAUUUUUUAAAAUUUAUUUUCUAUUUGUCGGGAAAUAUUUAUUUGAAUGUUUUUAAUAUUUUUGGUAUAUUAUAUAUAUUUAAAAAUUAUAUAUAAAAAAUUAAUAUGGUCGAGUCAUGCCGGGCUUGGCCAAAUUUUUAGACCUAUUUUUGGGUCGAGCCUAGGCUUAGCAAACGGGCCUAAGAUUUUGGUUGGACCGAGCCCGAACCCGUCAGCCAGACCCAUCCUUUUCAUUUUAUUUUAAUAAUUAAACAUUGGGUAAUGUAUUCAAUUUCUCAAUCAAAUCUAAAAAAUUCUUUUAUUUUGAGUUUUUAUAGAUUUGAAAUAUAUAUAUUUAGAAUUUUAAAAUUUUUAGUUUUGUACACAUCCAAAAUGAAUCUAGACAAAUUGCUGUCUAGAUUCAUUCUAUAUGCAUAUUUUAAUUAAUUUUCUUAAGAAAAUAUUUUAUUUUUUUUUGUAACCUCCCCAACCUGGCCUAGACGGUAGACUCGAAUUCAGGAGAUUACAUUAACCACCGAAGUGGCUCGAUCUUUAUCAAAACCAGUUUUCAUUUAAAACUCUAGUUUAUUCCGGUGAUUUACAAUUUAUAUUCUUGUUAAACUUAUUAGAGUUAACAAUAGAAUUAAAAUGUAAGUCUUUUAAAUAAAACAAUUCGGUUUAAUCAAUAUUAACAAAUCAUAACCUAAAUUUAUAACCUAUAUUGAAUGAGAUGCAUCUAACAAUUAAAUUAAAACUAAAUCUCAAAUCAUGGUUCAUAGUAAAAGAAAAUAGACAAUAACUAUUCCUCCUAAGGAAUUAAAAAUAAUAACACUAACGGAAAUAAAGAUGAAACAAAAGCCAAGACCCUCCGAGUGUCGUGUCUACAUCCUAGCUGGAAGGAUUAUCUGUAAAGAUGGAAAUCAGGGGGAGUGAGCUAUGAAAGCUCAAUGUGAGUCAUUUUACAAUAAACCAAAUCAUACAACUAUCUUUUAAAACAUUAAAUAACACCAUACAUCACUAUCAAGCUUAGCAAUCGAUUAUAAAUACCGGUCAAUUUCAAAUACAAUAAUACGGUGAUGUUACUCUAGUCAAGCAAUAAUAAUAUUCUCAAAUAUAGGCAAUCAACUAAAUUAGUUUUAAAAUUAUUCACACUGUUCACGAAAGAUAUAUGCAUAUAAAUAAUUUCAAUCAUUUCAUCAAGCAAAUUUAGUCAUGUACGCAUAAAUUAUCAAAUAUGCCAUACAAAAAUCAGUUGGGGGUAGGGAGUUCCCUCGAAAUUCCUCCACCAUCACUCUAAUUUAUGGACUUAAUACCAUAUUUGAAUUCAGGUAAUUACAGAUAAAAGCUUUCCAUAACUAUAGAAAUACGGUCAUCUCACAGACAAGAGCUAUUAGAAGGGCCAUGGGAGCACAGUAAAAACAUUGUAGUUAGGAUCUGCUGUAACUAUGGGUGCACAUCAAGACCAUCUUAGGUAGGAUGUGUUGUAACUGUGAGUACACAAUGAACAAUUAAAUGCAAAUAAACUGCCAGUACUUCCUCUAAUCAUAUCAGCCCAACCCAUGCAAAUGCAUUACAAUUAAUUCAAAAGCAUUCAAACAUUGUAAUAUUCAAUAUUCUAUCUCUUUACAAAUCAAUAACAUUCAUGGAUCAAUUAAGCAUUCAAUAAGUCAACCAUUGAGGGUAUAUGAAUCAUUCAAUCGGGUAUUUAUACAAAUUAUGUGUAAAGUCAUUCACGGUUUAAUCAAUCAAUCAAGAGUAAUUCAAUUAAUAAAUUCAAUCAUCCAUAUAUCUCAUUGUUCUAUUCUUAAUCCCGGACCUAAUUGCAUAAUCUAGUUCUCUAAUUGCCAUUAAAAACCUAAUUAGGGACUGAUUUGAAUAGAAAAAUAAAAGUUAGGCUAAAACUAUAAUUUUUGAGUUUCAGGGGUCGUACGGCUGUGUGACCGGACUGUGUGUGAAACCCCAGGCCAUGUGUGAUUCAGAUAGGUGAGGUGUAGGGGCCACAUGACUGUGUGACUGGACUGAGUGCGAAGCCCUAAACUGUGUGCGAAGCGAAGAUAUGAGGGAUUACAGAGGGACAUGGUCGUGUGUGAGGCUAUGUGAUCCACAUGGGUUGGCUACACGCCUAUGUGAUAGGCCGUGUGCGAUUGGGAAGUUUCAAAUUUUGACUCAAUUUUUCAUAAAAGAUCACACACCUAAAUUCUAAAGUCUCGUACGAUGGUCCUCAUAUCCAAGUAUGAUCUAGAUUACCUACAUGUGUCUUUCUAUUGACAAAAUGCAAGAAUUAAUGACUGAUUUCAAUAUUUAGAGGGGUUCCAACAAUAUCAUAAAAGAUCCGUAAUGGAUAAAAGAUCUAACGAAAAUAAUGGUUUUCCAGAUUUGAUGAGAUCUAGCUAUUGGGAAACGAAAAGAGCUUACUGAUCUUGAUAGGAAUUUAGAAAUUGAUGCCGCGAAAUUCAAUGAUUAAUGAUAAACAAUUCGAUUUGGACUUGAUUGCAAAGUUAAGAUUCAAGAACUAAAUUUCAAGUAAAAACUUAAAGAGAUUUUUGUAAAAAAGGGUUUGUAGAGAAAAUAGGGAAGAAAUAGGUUAGAUCAAAUAGGAAAUCUUGAUUGUGCUAGGAAGUGAUUUAUUAGUUGGACCGUGGAAAAAAUAAGGGUUAUUUGGCAAUUAACCCUUUUUAGCCGAAAUCAAGGAAAAAAAGUGUAACCAACGUGACUUGAACUUAAAAUCAAGGGAAUGGAAAAGAAAAAACUUGGCCAUUAAGUUAAUAUCCAUUCUAUAAUUAUAUUUUACCACAAAUAAUACAUAAGCUAAUUUAGCAUUGGUUCCUUACGUGUAGAAAAGUAAAAGGGAAAAGUGAAAAAUGUGGGAUUUCAACUUGGAUCCUCUAGAGAUUUUACUAAACUCUUAAUCACUAAUGCUUCGUUAGUCAUGUCAGCACAGUUAACAGUUAACUAACAGUUUCCAUUAACGGAAUAAGCCAAUUGAUUUUUUUGGAUCACUUAGGGUUUAAUUGGAUGCACUUUUUUAAUAAGGGUUCAAUUAAUUUUUUUUAUUGAGGGUUUUUCUGACCCUUUGGCCUUUGUAAUAUUAUAGAUGAUUAAUUUAAUUUUGAUUCUUAUAUUACGUUCAAAUUUAAGAUUUAAUUUCUAUGCUUUAAUUCUUUAUAUAAUUUGAUUCAUCAACUUUUACAGUAUCUUAGUCUGUCUAAACACUUGAUUUUUUUUUUAUAAAAAUCCUAACGUGAAUUUUUUUUAAUACUAUUCUAAUAAAAAUUUAUUUUAUCAUGAUGAGUUAUAAUGGGUGUUUUUAAGAACAAUUCACAACAAUAUUUUAACUUACGUAAUUAAAAAUUUUAAUUACUAGAACUAACUAAUAUAAUUAUAAUGAUAGAGAGAUCAAUUUUUACCAAAUAAAAGUAUCGAAACUAAUCUCAACUUUUUUUUUGGUGAAAAAUAAAUCAAAGAUAUAGCAUAACAACUAAUGAGAGUCUUUAAAAGUUUUGUCUUGUUGAAGAACCGUAAUCACAAAAUUAGAAGCUCUUCAAAGAUUUAUAGAGAAUCUUACCAAAUAUAAAAAACUCAAAUUAAGCAUUAUAAAACCACCACAACCCUAAUAUGAUGAAAGACAAUAUAUACUUAAUCUAUAAUAAAUAUUAUAGUUAAAAUUAAAAAUUUGAUUCCAUCAAUUUUUUUUCUUUUUUGCACAAAUUCAUAUAUAAUAGAUUUGACUAUUAGAUUUAUUAUAUUAUAUCGAUUCAUGCUACAAAUCAAUUUGAACUCAAGAAUAUUCAUUAUUUAAAUUAACUUGUACAAAUAAUUCGUUACUAAAUUCAACUGCUUCACAAGAAUAAAAAUUUUGGAUAUUCAGACCAAAUAGCCAUUUAAUUCUUUUCAAAAAUAAUAAAUUUUAAUAUUUUUAAGAAUGAAGUAUUUUAUUUUUAUUUUUAUUUUGGUGAGAAAAUAAAAACUUAAAAAGUUACAAAAACAACGAUUGAGUGAUUGUAUCACUCAUAAGCUUGUCUCUAUCAAUAAAACCGCGAGACCACUCCAGAGGACAGCAAACACUUGCAUAUUGGCUUUUUCAAUCAACGCUUGCUUAGCUAGACAAUCCGCAACUUGAUUUUGUUCCCUUAGGAUAAAUCUUAGAGUCCACUGAGUUUCUUGAGAUAAAAUGGUAUGAAUAUGCCUGAUUAGAGCAGAGUUAGAAGAUGUAGAUGAACUUCCAAGAAUGGCUUUAACAACUUCCAGACAAUCAGAAAGAAUGAUAACUUGAUCAUGUCCUUGUCUUUGAACAAGUUUGAGUCCAUCUAAAAUGUCCCAAAGGUCCGCAUCAAAAACUGAGCAUUUACCGAGAAAUCUAUGAAAUCCAGCAAUUCGAUUACCAUCUUUAUCCCGAACAAUGCCCCCAACUGUAGCAAGUCCAGUAUCAAGUUGCACAGCUCUGUAAGUGUUAAGAUAAACUCACUCUUCAGUGGUGCGUGUUUUAGAAAAUUGUCUGAGGCAGGCGGAAGGGACUCUCUGAGGUAUGAAGUGAAGUUGAACCGCCCAGCUAAUGGAUCCUUGAACAAUUUCAUUAGUGCUCCACAGUUUGCCUUGAAAGAUGUAGAAGUUGCAAUUUUUCCAAAUACGCCAAAUAAGAAGACCAAAUAAACAGGCCCAACUAGCUCCUCCCGCAUGGAUCAACCUAUUUACCUAUAAAUUAAGAAUAAUCCAGUCUUGAGUGGGAAUUGAAAAAAAAUUAGAAAUAUACUUACUUGAAUUAACCUGAGCCCAAAUAUCCUUAGCAGUAGGACAAUCACGUAAAAUAUGUAAGGAAUCCUCCGAGUGAUGACCACAAAUCAGACAAGCGGGAUUAUCAGAAAAUCCUCUCCUGACUCUUUCGAUAUUGCUAAGAUUCUUCCCUGUAAAACCGUCCAAAUGAAAACGCAAACUCUAUGAGGUCCAAGGCUCUUCCACACAAUCUUUCAUUUCUCAUCUCUCGGGUUCCAGUCCCCCUCAUUAAGUGCUUUAUAAGCAGAUUUAACAGAGAAGUCCCCAAAUGAAGUAUGCCUCCAAGAGAUUCUGUCAGGACCUUCAGAAUGCUGAGGAGGUAGGAUACCCUUAAUGGCCUGAAUCACAUCUUCAGAUAACCAAGUCUAAAAGAGAUCAAGGUUCCACGAACCAUCUUCUGAAGUCAUCUCAUGUAAAAGGCAAUUAGGAUUUAGAUUGAGAUUUGGAGUAAUAUAUCGAAUGAGAGGUCCAAUAUGAGGAAUCCAAUUGUCCUUCCAGCAUUGAAUUUUAUGGCCAUCUCCAAUGGACCAGUACAGAUUUUCACGAAAUAAUGCCCAAAUUUUGGAUAAUGAUUUCCAAAGAAAAGAGCAUUUAUUCCUAUUAAUGCACUAUGGUAUUUUCUCCUUUACUUGAUACUUCGCUCUAACCACUCGAACCCAAAAGGCAUCUUUAUUCAACACCAAUUUGAAACACAGCUUCAUUAAGAAGGAAAUAUUCUGAUCACGGAGCUUCCUCAGCCCUAACCCUCCACACCCUCUAGGUUGACAAAUGGAAUCCCAGCCAACCAGGGACAUCUUUUUUUUGUCUUUCAGAAGAUCCCCAGAUAAAUUGCUUAACCAAACUUUCAAUCUCGUACCGAGUUUUCCUAGGUAUCAUUAUGGACUGCAUGAAGUAGCUAGAGAUAGAUAAGAGGACUGAUUGUGCCAAAGUGACUCGCCUGGCUAAAGAGAGCUUUUUAGCUUCUCAACUUUGAAGCUUACCACGAACUGGAAAGUGCUGCUAGUAACCUUUUGGUGGAAAAGAGGAACUACAAUAUAGUGACCCAGAUUAUGAACACGUUGAAAACCAAACAAUGAGCUAAUCGAAUUCACCAUAGUAUCAUCCACUCCUUUAGAAAAGAAUAUAUUGGUCUUUCUAGAAUUUAUUUUAUGACCAGACAACUCACAAAAAUUAUCCAGGAUGUUCUUUAAGACCCCACCAUAGCUUUACUAAAGAUAACCAAAUCAUCUACAAAAAAUAAAUGAGAGAUAGCAGGCCCAUUUCUAUUUAGUCAAAUAGGGCUCCAUUUACCUUCCAAGAUAGCAAACUGUAUCAGGUGACCAAGCCACUCCAUACAAAGCACAAAAAGGUAGGAGGAAAGGGGACACCCUUGACAAACUCCUCUAACAGGCUUGAACUUAGCCAGCGGUACUCCAUUCCAUAUAACCUGCAUGGUAGAAUUCGAGAUAGAUGACAUAAUAACAUUAAUAAGAAAGUCAAGGAUACCUGCCACUUGAAGAGAAGCUUCAAUGAACUCCCAACUAACUCUGUCGUAAGCCUUUUCCAAGUCAAUUUUGAUUGCCAUCCAUUUCUGUUUCUUCUGACUUCGCAUGGUGUGGAUCACUUCUUGAGCUAAGAUAAUGUUUUCAUUAAUGUUUCUCCCAGCAAUAAAACCAACCUGCUCAUGAGCAAUAAUUUUAGGGAAAAUAUGUUUAAAUCUAUUCGCAAUUACCUUCAUCGUAAACUUGUAAAGAACAUAACAAAGGCUGAUAGGCCAGAAUUGACUGAAGGUUUCCGAAUUCUGAAUCUUCAGGAUAAGAAAGAUCAAAGUGUUAUUCAAAUCAGAAUCAAUAGGAUUUCCUUCAAAGACCUUACAAACCCAGUCACAAAUCGCUUUCCCUAGAAUGUCCCAAUGCUUCUGAAAGAAAAGGGCAUGGAAGCCAUCAUUGCCUGGAGCUUUAAGAGGCGCCAUAUCAAACAUUGCCUCCUUGAUUUCUGUAUCUGAAACAGAUCUCCCCAAGAAAAUAAUGUCAACUGGAUCAAGUUGUGGGAAGCCACUAGAAGGAAAAUUUCCCAAAAUAGCAGGAAUUUCCCUAUAUAGUUUCUGACAAAACUUUUUUGCCUCACCCUCAAUAUCCUCCGGAUCAUAAAUCUAAUUCUCUUCAGCAUUGCAGAUAGGUAAUGCGAUUGUUUUUCCUCCUUUGCAAAGUACAAGUAUGGAAGAAUUUUGUAUUCUAGUCCCCUAGUUUUAACCAGUCACACUUUGCUUUUUGUUUCCAAAGAAGCUCUUCAUGGUGAAGAACAUCCUCAAGCUCUUGACGGAGAGACAAAUCGACAUGGUUUAAAUGAAUGGAGCCAGAAAUAUCCCUUUCUUUUUGUAUGUUAGCAAUUCUUUUGAAGAGAUCUCUCUUACGAGUAGUAAUGUGCCCAUAGACAUGUUUAUUCCAAUCCUUGAGCUCAUGAGUGAGUUUUCUAAGGGUCUCAGCCAUAUUUCUAGAAAAGUCUCAUUUUUCUUUAAGGAAGCCCUCAAAAUUAGGAUGUUCAAUCCAACCAGCUAAAAAUCUAAAAGGCCUCCCCCUAGGGAGCGAAUGACUUGGAUUUAGAACCAAAAAAAGAGAACGAUGAUCUGAUUUAAUCUUUGGGAGGUGAGUAACCAUACAAUCAGGAAAAUUUCGUAGCCAGGCUUCAUUUCCCAGAGCAUGAUCUAACCUUUCAAAAAGAGACCCCCUGUGCCAAUUAAAGAGAGGUCCUCUAAACCCUAAGUCAUGGAGUUCAGCAGAAGUAAUAAAGUCACCAAAAUACGAGCACCUCCUUCCCCUUGAAAGGCCUCCGGAUUUCUCAGAAGAGGAUAGGAUUGCAUUAAAAUCCCCAAUAGCAAUCCAAGAGCGCUGGCCACGAGAUAUAAAAUUCUUCAGCUCAUUCUAAAGAAGUUGGCGCCUCUAUCUAUUAGGGCUACCAUAGACAAAAGCGAUAAAGAUUGGAUGCGAUGCAGACAAGCACCAAAAUCGAGACAAAAUGAAUUGCGGAUGGCUACAAAUUACUUCGAGACGAACAGAAUCCCGCCAUCUUAACCAAAUACCCCCUGAGAAACCAAUUACCUCCACACGGUGGGAAAAUUGAAAUCCUAACUUAGAUAUAAUGUUGUCAGCCCUGUAGCCACUAACUCUCGGUUCAAGCAAGCUAACAAUAUCUAGUUUAUACUCUGUGUUAUAUUCCCGAAAAAUUCUAGGGAAUUUAACGUUUGCACAACCCUGAUAAUUCCACAAAAAGAUAGUGAUAUUCAUUAAAAAAUUAAUAGAAAAUGUAUCAUACCUGGUUUUAGGAUCAAUGCUGCAAUCUGAUUUUGAGUUUGCACCAUCAACCUCGACAUUCGAAUUCACGCCUAGAACUUGAGAAGAUAAAAGUUCUGCCAUUGCCACCAUAGACUCAGCUAGAGGAACACACGUGUUUCCAGGAGAUUUAAAACAAUUCCCUCUACCUCGUAGGGCAAAAUAAGUCUUUUUAGAAUUUCGGCUGUCAUUUUCUCUGCCACCAUUUCUUCUCUUUUUGGGACCAUUAGACUUUGAAUUUGGACCCAAUUCCAGAAAUUCCACAAACUUUGUUUUCGAAUUAUCCUGCUGCAUAAAAUUAAUAUUUUUAUCAAAACUAACAGUAGAGUGCUUACCUGGAUCGAGAGUGUUUUCUGAUAUAGGUACUAUGAAACCCUCGGAUUCAUAAAAAACAGGGUUGUAAUGUGAUUUAAUUUUUUCCAAAACUCUAGCUUCAUUGUUCUCCUGCAUUUUAGCGUCCAACUUGUUUUGGUUAAUAGCGUCUCCCACAGAAACAUUUUUAAAUAAAUGCAUCUGUUUUGAACCUGCCAGGAGUGUAUAAGUUAGGAUUAGAGAAAUUAUCAAAAGUUUCCCUAUUUUUACCUACGUCAUCCUCUAACCCCAUAAGCCUUUUUUCUAAUUUUUUGUCUAAAGAAACUUUGGAUUUUUGGCCCAUAAAGUUAUUCACAUUAUUUCCCAAUAAUUCCUUCAAAUCGGGUUCGUUAGAAAGGCCCAAAUUCUUGAUUUUCCUUUAGCCUGUAACCAUAAAAGAAUUGUUGACUCCUUUAAUGUCCUUAGAAUCUAAUCUCUUUAACUUUGCGGCCGAAACACCAUUUAAAGAAACCCCUAAAAAUCCUUCAGCCGAUUGUCCAGCUUUAAUGUUUGAAUUCUGUCCCGAUUCCAUGAACAAAUCCUGCCCAAAUUUCGUGAUUGAAUCUUUUCCCUCUGAUAGCACUGCGAAUCUGGAUCCAGAUGGAUGUUUAGAUUGCCUUGCCAAAAUCCCCGCCGUGGAAUCUUUCUUUCCUCACUGUGAAGCCUUCUUCUCUACGAACAUCCAUGGCCCAAAUUCUGGGCCCUUCUCUCUGUUAUCAGAAUUUUAUUUUUCCCUACCUGUGCUGUCCACCGGAGUAGAGACCGCCACGGUCAUUAGUUCGGCUUGAGGUUUGUCUGUCUUAUUCGCUAGUCUCGUGAGGUUUUGGCUUGACACAACCGAAUUACACAUCUCUUUUACGUGACCAUACUUGCCACAAGUAAAGCACACAGUCGGGAGGGCUUCAUAUUCAACAUGUUGAGCAAUUUCGUCAACAAGGACCUACGAAAUCAACGGUCUAUCAAGACUAAGGUACACGGCUAACCUAGCAAAUCAACCCCUGGUUUGGUUGUCAGUCUGCACAUCCAAUUUUACCACCUUUCCAAUGAGGCCCCCGAUGGCUUCGAUGAUCUUCCAUUUAUAAAGAUAUCCCGGAAGAUUAGGCAAUCGUAUCCACGCUAGCACAACACUCGGGUAAGGUUGCAAGAGGCUGAAAUGUUUAGUCCAUGGUUGUACGGUCAGAUACUGGCCAUAAACUGUUCAUGGACUCUGAGAUAAAACUCUAUUAUAAUCGUUAGGAUCCUGAAAUUUCACCAAAAAAUAUCCAUUAGCAAUAUCCUUAAUCUUAAUAGAAUUUACAAGAUUCCAAAGGAAAAGGAUGUGAUUAUGAAGUGCGUUGUAACCGAUAUUUCGUCCUAGAAGUUUAACAAUGAUAGUCAAUUCCAUUUCUUUGAAUAGGAUUUCCUUUACACGAUCUGAAAAAUUGAUAGCAGGAAUCCCGUCAAUGAUGGACAUAUUGACGUCCCCUUCAAAUAGUUCAAAUUCAUUCUCAUUAUCUGCGGAAGACCCAUCACGAAUAGAUUUGGAAGCAACAUCGUAGCCCCCCAGCAAUUUUUCUUUCCAUGUCAUACUUGUUUGUGAUUCGUGAUCCACAGCCAUAGAAGUGUCUUCAUCACCACCGUUCCCUUUAAACCUUACUUUUUUGGUAUUUCGAUCAUCGUCGGGGUGAGCGACUCCCUCCUCACCGUUAUCGAAAUUUUGCAAAGUUGAGAGCAUAUCAAGUGUAUUUAGAGUUGCAUGAAGUAUUUUAUUUUUAAUUGGAAUGUCAUGAGGUAUCUUUAUUUGACACUUGUCCAAUACAUUUUUUUAUUUUUUAAAUAUAUAACAAUGGA
rnacentral:lncRNA from 1 species